rnacentral:lncRNA from 1 species
CCACAAGUAGUGCAUGAGCAGUUGGGUCCACAGUUGCACUUUCCUCCGGUCUCACCGCCUUCCAUGAUCUCAGCAGUCUCGUAGUAACUGUGAUAUCAUCAAACUUAGUAUCAAACAAAUGAUUUUCUCAUAUGAAACUUUUUUUUACAAGUUAUUUAGUGACUGUGAUAAACUAGGCUAAUCGAGUCGUGUGUAUCUCUCAUACGAAGCAAACUAACACUCUACAUACCUGUUCUCAGUCACAACAUCGAAUCCAUAGCUGCUUCCCUUCUUGCUGCAGUCAUGAUAGCACAUACAUCAGAAGAGUAGAAAAGAUGAUAGAAAUUUUAACACUGAAAUUAAAAAAGAGGAACUUACGGGCAGUUGGUCUUGUCAGCACAGCUGCAGGUGUCACAGGAAGACAUGGUGAUGAUCGAGUGAUGAAGAUAUAUGAUCUGAAGAAGAAGAUAGCAAGGUCUAGUAAAAAUGCUUGUGUGUGUUGUGAAUGAAAAACAAGCAUUUUGAUGUGUAUUUAUAGAAGGUUGUGAGAGGAUGGGGUUUGUUGUAAUAAGUGAUAAAAAAAAGGAAGAUAGUUAAGGGGUUGUUAAGAAGUAGUUUUUCCUAAUUUACCCUUCAUUAAUUAAUACCCGUUGGUAUAACCCAAACCCGAUAACCCGACGGAAACAGAAGAUUCUGCUCCUAAUUACCCGUUUUGUAAUUUUUUUAUAUUUAAACCCUAGGUUAGUACUGCAAUUAUCCCCAACCGCUGUCACUCACCAAGAUCGUAAGUGGACAGCUUCUCCGGCAAGUCUCUUGGGUGGAGCUUCCUCCGUAUCAGAGGAUGAUAGUUAUGGAAAAUAAUUUUUCAUUUUCAUUUCUUUUUCCACCCUUCAGUAUAAAGAUCCACCCUUCCUCUUCAGUCACAUCGACAUGAGAACCAUCCAUGGAGAAUUUCCCUCUUUUCGCAGCAUUUGUUAUUUCCUUAAGUAUACUCCCGUGGAUCCUUUUCUGCGAAAAAUCCCUCUAAAGACUUCUUCACUUUUGAUUCCGGAAUCAGAGCCGCCACGGACUUCCGCACCUUCAGAGCCGCUGCCGGAGUCGGAGAUUGAUUACUACUCCUCCUCAUCAAAAAAUUCAUCUUUCCUCCCACAAAAAAUUCUCUUUCCAAAAAACGUUAGCAAAAAUAGGCAGUAGAUCAAAACAGUCUUCAAAUCCCUGAUGAAAUGAGGGAGAAUAUGGUGAACGGUGUGGGUUGAAGGAGGGAGGGGGGAGGACGAUGAAUAGUUUUUCUCCCCAAAAUAAUCUACCCAUUUUUAAUGAUAAUGGCACAUCUUUGAAAAUUGAAAUUAAUUACAAGGGUAAAAUGGUCAAAAAAAAUAUAGGUGGUUAUUUUUAAUUCCAAAACAAUCUCCAUAUAUUUAACAAUUUUCCAAAAGAAUGAAUGAAUGAAUUAUUGAAGUAAAAUUGUAAAUUGAUAGCGAUAAAAUAAACAAAUAAAUAAAUAUAAGAUAUAGAGUUAUAGUCAUGUAUAAAUGAUUGAUGUAAACUCUAAAGGAAUCUUUCAUAUUCAAUAUUAUUAUCAUCUUAUGUCACGAGUGACCUCUUUGUAGUUUGUACAUUUACUCUUCUCUCUCCCACACACAAUUCUCAUCUCACAACAUUUUUUACCCUGACUUUAAAACAUUUACUCUGUAUUUAACUUCAAGACAAGCAUAAGCAUCAAUCUUAUCACAUCCAUCGAAAGAUCUCACUAAAUCUCAUCUUACACGAAAGGUCAAAUUCAAACAUCACAUAAAGAUAGAAGACAGUCCUUAUCUUAACAUCAAAAUCAAUGUAGCAUUUUGGUUCCUCCACUUGUUUUCUACACCGCAAAAGUUGCAUUCAAAUAAUGCAUAGAGAACAAAACAAUAAUAUCAAAUAUCAAUGUAGAAAGAUUCCAACGUCAAAACUAGUCUGUAGCUACUAUGGAGUAUAACAUAGGCAUACUAUGCUGAAUAAAUCAUACAAUAUUAAUUAAUUGGACUCCAAUACCAGAUUGGAAAUUUAUACAGCCCAUGGACUAGAGCUAAGAUAGGCAAAAAGCCCAAUCCAUAAACUAGCCAGUAGUCAACAAAGAAAUGGAAGGUCCUCUUAACAUCAAGAUCGAUAUAGACUUUUGGUUCUUCCACUUCUUUUCUACACCACACAAGUUGCAUUCAAAUAAUGCAUAGCCAAAACAAUAAUGUCAAUGUAGAAAGAUUCCAAUGCCAAAACUAGUCUGUAGCCAUUGUGGAGUAUAUCAUAGGCAUACUAUGCUGAAUAAACCAUACAACAUUAAUGAUUUGGACUCCAAUGGCAGAUUGGAUAUUUAUGCAGCCCAUGGACUAGAGCUAAGACAUGCAGAAAGCUCAAUCCAUGGAAUUUACAACAAAAUACAACCUCGAAAGUCAAAAAAUUUAAAACUUUCUAGAGCUAAAUCCAAUGCCCCAAAACUAGCUAGUAGUCAAUGUUGGACAGGAUAAUUAAUUGGGGAAAUUAAUACAGUUCAUGGGCAAGAGCUGAGACAUGUAGAAACCCCAAUCUAUAACAAAAUAUAGCCUCAAAGAUGUUUGAACUUUUUUUUUUUUGAACAAUAUGUUUUAUAUAUUAAAAAAUUAAGGUUUACAUAAGUUUAACACAAAAAGAAAAAAUAAUUAAUUUAAAUAUAAUCUUACUUAUUCUCUGGCAGUUAAUCAAUCUUAACUUUCUUUUUUCACCCUGUUGUGGAUCAACAACCGAAGAAUAUCUCAUUGGUGCAAUGCCCUCUUUUCCGCGUUCCUCUUGUGUGGCUUUUUGAAUUUGUUUUUUUUAAACCGAUUUCCGUCGAUUUGAUGCAUUCCAUUAUGAUCCUUUCAUGAGUUUCCUCCGUGGUGAUGUUGGUUUCACUCCUUCCAUAUAUUAAACAGUAUGAAACCAAGCAUUGUUUAAUGCAAUCCCCAACACUUUGAUCCAUGAGUGAUUUUCUCAAUUUUAUAAGCCAUGGUUUCGAAAUCCCCAAUGUCUUAUGUGUGUUCACCAAUCCACCGGUUACAUCAAAGCCCUCUUUUAGCAUCCACCUCGCAAACUUGCAUUUGAAAAAAACAUGAGAUAUUGUCUCAAGUUCUUCACCACAUAAUACACAUUCUUUUGCCACAUUCAUUCCUCUACGUCUUAGUCUAUCCAUUGUUGCUAUGUUGUCCUCCAUAUUCUUUACAUGUUUAAGGAGAUUUUGUGUACAUAUGAUGACCAUAUACCAAUGCUAGAUCAUCCUUCGGGUUUGUCUCCCUUAGUGUAUCCACUACAUUUGCUAAUGAUAGUCAAUUACCAUUCCUUUUCCACUGAAUUGUUUAGUUUAGUGUACAAUCCACACAUUUGUUUAUGUUUUCACGUUGUCGCAAGACCUCCCUCCACGUGGCUGAAUCAUUAUAACGUCUCGAGAUAUUAUUCAAGGCUUCUCCUUUAAUAUACCUUUUUUCAUCCAAUGCCCCCAUAUGCCAUCGUCCGUCCACAACCUGCAUAGUUUGUCCACUGUUGCGGCCACUUGAGUGGUUUGGAAGUCCUUUACCCCCAUGCCACCUUGGGAUCGAGGUUUAAUUAUCAUUGAUCAAAGGACUUCCUUCUGUGUCCCCCAUACGAACCUGUAAACUAAAGACUUUAUUGUUUGGAUUGUAACCAGCGGUACUGUACUAGUUUGCAUCAAAUAUUCAAAUUUUCUUUGGAAAAUUCAAUUCAUUAAUUGUACUCUUCCCAUGUACGAUAGUUUCUUUUUGGUCCAUCUUGUUAGAAUGUCAUUUAGAUCCGUUAUCAAAGGAUCACAAUUCCCGUUUGAGAUGAACUUUUUGGUGAGUGGUACUCCUAGGUAUUUUAGUGACAACUGCUUUUGUUGAAAUUUUAGUAUGGCAGCUAGAGUCGCCCCAUCUCUUACCCUCUUCGAGAAAACCAUCGAGCUUUUUUCCUCAUUUAUUUGGAGCCUCGAGAAAGAUGAGAAUUCCUCUAGUAUGCCAUUUAAUUUGGUUAAGGUUUUUGUCAAUGCUUGAUAGAAGAAAACGACAUCGUCUGCAAAGGCUAAAUGGCUUUCUAUUAGUAUACCUCCCGAAGUGUAUAAUUCCAAUUUCCGAUCAGCUACUGCUAGUGAUACCAGCAACUAUGGAGUAUAACAUAGGCAUACUAUGCUGAAUAAAUCAUACAAUAUUAAUUAAUUGGACUCCAAUACCAGAUUGGAAAUUUAUGCAGCCCAUGGACUAGAGCUAAGACCGGCAAAAAGCCCAAUCCAUAGAUUUACAACUUUCUAGGGCUAAUUUCAAAGCAUACACUAGCCAGUAGUCAACAAAGAAAUGAAAGGUCCUCUUAACAUCAAGAUCGAUAUAGACUUUUGGUUCUUCCACUUCUUUUCUACACCACACAAGUUGCAUUCAAAUAAUGCAUAGCCAAAACAAUAAUGUCAAUGUAGAAAGAUUCCAAUGCCAAAACUAGUCUGUAGCCAUUGUGGAGUAUAUCAUAGGCAUACUAUGCUGAAUAAACCAUACAACAUUAAUGAUUUGGACUCCAAUGGCAGAUUGGAUAUUUAUGCAGCCCAUGGACUAGAGCUAAGACAUGCAGAAAGCUCAAUCCAUGGAAUUUACAACAAAAUACAACCUCGAAAGUCAAAAAAUUUAAAACUUUCUAGAGCUAAAUCCAAUGCCCCAAAACUAGCUAGUAGUCAAUGUUGGACAGGAUAAUUAAUUGGGGAAAUUAAUACAGUUCAUGGGCAAGAGCUGAGACAUGUAGAAACCCCAAUCUAUAACAAAAUAUAGCCUCAAAGAUGUUUGAACUUUUUUUUUUUUGAAUAAUAUGUUUUAUAUAUUAAAAAAUUAAGGUUUACAUAAGUUUAACACAAAAAGAAAAAAUAAUUAAUUUAAAUAUAAUCUUACUUAUUCUCUGGCAGUUAAUCAAUCUUAACUUUCUUUUUUCACCCUGUUGUGGAUCAACAACCGAAGAAUAUCUCAUUGGUGCAAUGCCCUCUUUUCCGCGUUCCUCUUGUGUGGCUUUUUGAAUUUGUUUUUUUUAAACCGAUUUCCGUCGAUCUGAUGCAUUCCAUUAUGAUCCUUUCAUGAGUUUCCUCCGUGGUGAUGUUGGUUUCACUCCUUCCAUAUAUUAAACAGUAUGAAACCAAGCAUUGUUUAAUGCAAUCCCCAACACUUUGAUCCAUGAGUGAUUUUCUCAAUUUUAUAAGCCAUGGUUUCGAAAUCCCCAAUGUCUUAUGUGUGUUCACCAAUCCACCGGUUACAUCAAAGCCCUCUUUUAGCAUCCACCUCGCAAACUUGCAUUUGAAAAAAACAUGAGAUAUUGUCUCAAGUUCUUCACCACAUAAUACACAUUCUUUUGCCACAUUCAUUCCUCUACGUCUUAGUCUAUCCAUUGUUGCUAUGUUGUCCUCCAUAUUCUUUACAUGUUUAAGGAGAUUUUGUGUACAUAUGAUGACCAUAUACCAAUGCUAGAUCAUCCUUCGGGUUUGUCUCCCUUAGUGUAUCCACUACAUUUGCUAAUGAUAGUCAAUUACCAUUCCUUUUCCACUGAAUUGUUUAGUUUAGUGUACAAUCCACACAUUUGUUUAUGUUUUCACGUUGUCGCAAGACCUCCCUCCACGUGGCUGAAUCAUUAUAACGUCUCGAGAUAUUAUUCAAGGCUUCUCCUUUAAUAUACCUUUUUUCAUCCAAUGCCCCCAUAUGCCAUCGUCCGUCCACAACCUGCAUAGUUUGUCCACUGUUGCGGCCACUUGAGUGGUUUGGAAGUCCUUUACCCCCAUGCCACCUUGGGAUCGAGGUUUAAUUAUCAUUGAUCAAAGGACUUCCUUCUGUGUCCCCCAUACGAACCUGUAAACUAAAGACUUUAUUGUUUGGAUUGUAACCAGCGGUACUGUACUAGUUUGCAUCAAAUAUUCAAAUUUUCUUUGGAAAAUUCAAUUCAUUAAUUGUACUCUUCCCAUGUACGAUAGUUUCUUUUUGGUCCAUCUUGUUAGAAUGUCAUUUAGAUCCGUUAUCAAAGGAUCACAAUUCCCGUUUGAGAUGAACUUUUUGGUGAGUGGUACUCCUAGGUAUUUUAGUGACAACUGCUUUUGUUGAAAUUUUAGUAUGGCAGCUAGAGUCGCCCCAUCUCUUACCCUCUUCGAGAAAACCAUCGAGCUUUUUUCCUCAUUUAUUUGGAGCCUCGAGAAAGAUGAGAAUUCCUCUAGUAUGCCAUUUAAUUUGGUUAAGGUUUUUGUCAAUGCUUGAUAGAAGAAAACGACAUCGUCUGCAAAGGCUAAAUGGCUUUCUAUUAGUAUACCUCCCGAAGUGUAUAAUUCCAAUUUCCGAUCAGCUACUGCUAGUGAUACCAGCAACUAUGGAGUAUAACAUAGGCAUACUAUGCUGAAUAAAUCAUACAAUAUUAAUUAAUUGGACUCCAAUACCAGAUUGGAAAUUUAUGCAGCCCAUGGACUAGAGCUAAGACCGGCAAAAAGCCCAAUCCAUAGAUUUACAACUUUCUAGGGCUAAUUUCAAAGCAUACACUAGCCAGUAGUCAACAAAGAAAUGAAAGGUCCUCUUAACAUCAAGAUCGAUAUAGACUUUUGGUUCUUCCACUUCUUUUCUACACCACACAAGUUGCAUUCAAAUAAUGCAUAGCCAAAACAAUAAUGUCAAUGUAGAAAUAUUCCAAUGCCAAAACUAGUCUGUAACCAUUGUGGAGUAUAUCAUAGGCAUACUAUGCUGAAUAAACGAUACAACAUUAAUGAUUUUGACUCCAAUGGCAGAUUGGAAAUUUAUGCAGCCCAUGGACUAGAGCUAAGACAUGCAGAAAGCUCAAUCCAUGGAAUUUACAACAAAAUAUAACCUCAAAAGUCAAAAAAUUUAAAACUUUCUAGAGCUAAUUCCAAUGCCCCAAAACUAGCUAGUAGUCAAUGUUGACAGGAUAAUUAAUUAGGCUUCAAAUGGAAAUUACUACAGUUCAUGGGCAAGAGCUGAGACAAGUAGAAACCCCAAUUCAUAGAAUUCAAUACAUAACAAAACAUAGCCUCAAAGAUGUUUGAACUUUGAAUUUGAAAGAUUGACUAAAAUCAAGAAAUUUGCAGCAUAGACAUACUCCGAUGACAUCAUAGAACAUUAUUUAAUUGGGCUCCAAUGCCAGAUGGGGGAUUACUCCAGUCCAUGGGCUACAGCUGAAAAAAGCAGAAAGCUCAAUUCAUAUGAUAAAAUUUAUAACAAAAUAUAGCCACCAAAGUUGUAAGAAUAGCUAUGAAAAAUUACCCAGUUCUUAAUUAAGAACCACAAAUGCUUCAAGAUCCGAAUUCACGAAAACAAAAAUAAUUACAAUAGAUAUAAGCUCUUGAUUUCAAUGAUUAUAAUAAUAAUAUUCAACUCAGGUUUCAUACCUUAUGGAAAUACAACAAUAGAAGAAGAAAAAAGUAACAAGAAGAAGAAAUAUUUUUGAAAACGAUCAUUUAAGCAAAAAAAACGAAUCAAACCAGAGUUUCAAAAUCGGAGCUUUGAAAAAAACCACUUGUUCUUGCCACUUUUAAACCGUUCUUCCAUUCUGCUCUUCGUUUCCUUCAGAGCCACGACUUUACUGUCAUUGGAUUUGAAUACAUCCGUGCUUACCACCUCCUUGAGAUCGAUAUCGACCGUGUAUCGUGUAGGCAUAAUAUGAUUGUAAUUGACAACUUUGAUGAAUGCCUUAACUCUCGACUUCUUUGCGGUCUUCUUUGCUGAGUCCUUGCGGAUUACUUUCUUCGGAUACGAAGCAAUGCCGGCUACAAGACAGUGACCAUAUUGACGGUCUCUAGUUCCUUCGUCGAAGUUCCGAACGAUGACUGCUUUCUUUCCUGCGAAGCGGCCUUGCAAGACGACGACCGCCUUGUUCGGUUUCAAAAAUUUCACCAUUGAAGAUUCGAAAAGAGAGGAGGGUACUGUUCCUGAAAGGUCGGCGGACCGUAUUCCAAUUUAGGGUUUAUUCUGCUAAAAAUUAUGAAAAAAAUAUAUAUACAUAUAAUGGGCUUGGGCCUAAUAACAAAAAAAAUAGAUUCAGUUAAUAGAAUUCAUACCCUGAUGAACCCAUGGAGCUUUCAAAAAAAAUAAUGAAAAUUCAGGGUUUAGAGUUUAAACUAUAUUAUUUGGCUCUAUUAUAUCACUCAAAAAAUAGGUUUUUCUACUUAUAGAAAAACACCUCCAGUUAUCAAAAAAAAAAAAAAAAAAAAAAAAAAAGAAAAAGAUAGAUGACUUUUAAAAAUAACUAGACGAAGAUAUUUUUAUUUCCAAACCAUUUAAUGGAGUCAUAUCUGAAAAUAGUUCUAUAAACCAUUAAAACAAAGAUUAAUAUGUUCAACCAAUAUUGACGCAUAUUAUACUCUUUUUCGAUCAUUCUUUGCAAAACAAUUGCUUCUUUGUCCUCCCUAGUGCACUCUUUUGCUUCUUGUUUUUUUGAAAAAUCAAGCAGAAAAAAUGAAAAAAUAACAUCAUCUUCAAAACAGUGCCGAAUUCUGUAGCUCUAGAAGAAAAUAUAGAGAUAGAAGAUAUCUUAUUCUUUUAACAAUUUAAUUUAAAGAAAGUUAUGAUAUUCUCUGUAAAUUACGAAUGAUCUAUAAGUGCAUAACAUUAACACAUUAAAAUCUGUGUAAAUUACAUAUCUGAUGGAAACUUGACAAAAUUAUUUUCAUAAUCAUCAACUAAAAUAGAAUGAUAUUCAUUCCAUUUGAUGCAAAUGGAUUGAUUAAAUCAAAACAACUAAAACAUAGAAGAAGAAAUCAUUACUUUAUAUUAAAGUUGAUUACUAAUAUGUUUGGUUGGUUGUCAACACGAUUUCUUCAUAUUUAAACAAUUGUCUGCGGCUAGUUCGAACAAUUCUUGCAAAAAAUUUCGCUCUUCUUCUGUAAAAAAACAGUAAAAAUUUGCAUAAGAUAGAUAUAUGUUAUGGUUGAAUGCUUGAAUCAGUGUGAAAAAAAUUUACCAGCAGCUUCAAGCUGUCUUUGCAAUUCUUCCCCUAAAGCUUCAUUUUCCGCCUAAAAUGGAUUUUUUUUUUGAAUUCAUCAAAUAAUUAAUUAAAAGAGAAACACAGCGAAGAAUACUAACUAACCUCAAGUUGGGCAAUUUUUUCAAAUUGCGCUUUUUCAUCGGACAAAGGCAGUGCAGCAACAAGGAAAUCAAACUGCAAGGAAAAACAAAACAAAAAUAUGUUAAGCAGGUUUCCUGAUAUACUUGGAAAAAGUUGAAAAUUGAAAUGAAAUGACUUACAGUCUUUGCAGACUGAACUAGAGCAGUACUCAUAUUCAUAGUUUGUUCCGUAAGAUCAGGUGGUUGUUCUGUGGGAUUGGUCGAGGAAGGUGCUGGUUCGGGAUAAUUGGACGAAAGCCGCAUCGGAGGGGCAUCUCGUUGCAGGGUGCCGAAAGUAUUGAAGGCGAUAGAAGCAAUAGUAUUGACUUGAUCCUGUAGCUGUGUGAUGAUAUCCAUGAUGCAAUGCAAGAGUUGAUAGAGGAGGACGCAGAUCAAGAAAAACGAAGGAGGAGAGUUGACGAUCUGUCGACUUCUCGGAGAUUGAAAUUAGGUUAUUAGGAAUUGGAAAGAUUGACCGAUUGGGCUAUUUGGCAAAUUAGGUUAGUUUCGGCCGAUCCAAGUCACCACUGGAUCCAAUUACAGCUCUAAAAUAAAACUGACCGGUCCCGGUUAUAUAUCUUGACUACCUGAUAAAUGAUCGUUAUAAAUCUUAUUCGAUCAAUAUCAACAGUGGCUGAUCCAUGAAUUUUGUGAUGAAGGGGCACCUUUUUCCGACGAUAGCGUGGAAAAAAAUUGUAAUUCGCUGAAGGCGAAUAUUUUUUUUACUAUUAGUUACAAAAUUUGACAUGAUGCAUCUACAAUAGUUAUUAAAAAAUAACCCGAUUGCCUUUGUGGAUCUCUAUCCAAACUUACAUUUUAAUCACAUGAUUGCAUUUCGUAAUCCAAACGUGCAAUUUAAAUAAAAAUGAAGCACAAUACUCAAGCAAUUAGUUAAAGCAGAAGCGACUAAAGGCAGAUUUUUUUUAAAGAACUUCAAAUUAAUCAAAAAAAAUGAAAGUAAAAAAAAAACUACGACAGCUAGAGCUAGUAUCUAAUAUCUAUAUUUAUAUAACUUUAUUCUUAGCAUUUCUUUUUUUAUCUAUUCAUAGUUUUAUUCGUAGAAAUUUGUGCCACAAUCCCAAAACGCUUUUUUUCCUUAGUUAAUUUCUUUAGUUUUUUUCAAGAUUGAAUUCAUAUUGACAAUGAUUCAUUGAACAAAUAUAAUUCGAUCAUGGAUAAACAGAUUUCUGAAUGAUCUAUUUCUGUUCCAAACCAAAAGAAAAUAAGAAGAAAAUACACCUUACCGAUCUGACGCAGUGGUCGAUUUGAUUUAUCCAGCGGUGUGUCUAGCCGUAUAAGAUGGAAGUGCCGAAGUGGAGAUCGAUCUGUGAAGGAGACGGAUUUAGCAAAGAAUGGGAGUGAAGAUCGGUUUGAAGGAUAGGAAUUAGGGAUUUAGAGUAAGAUGGGGGAUUUGGCUUUAAGGUUUUUUUUUUUGGAAAAUUUAUUUUAUAAUUCAAAAGUUUUUAUAAUAUAUUAUGUAUUCUGUAAGUGUCCCUUAACAAUUAACAUAUAAGAAAAUUAUACAUAAGUUUUUUUCUUCCAAAAAUCAAGAAAGGACAAAUGCCCCACUGUCCCCUUUCUCUGGACCCGCGCCUCUGAUUAGGGAUUGGAAGGAUUGACCAAUUGGGCUAUUUGACAUGUUGCGUUGGGAUUGGCCAAUCCAAAGUCACCACUGGACUGUCAAACGAGCCCAGUCGAACCGGGCUCAAGCUCGGUUGUUUAAAGAGUUAUCCAGGCUUGGGCUCGAGCUCGCCGAGCCUGGCUUGGCCGAGCUCAAAGCUCACGAGCCCAUGCUCGAGCUUGCAAAGUCAGGCUCGGGCUCGAAGCUCGUAAGUCCAGAUUCGAGUUUGCAAAGUCGAACUCGAGCUCGAAGCUCAUGAUCAAGUCCAGACUCAAGUUUGCAAAAUCGGAUUCGAACUUGAAUUUUAACAUGAAAUUAUAGGUUAAAAUAAAUAUUUUGAAAAAAUGGGUUUAUCGAAUCCACAACUUCACUCAUGCUAAACAAGUACUUUAUCACCUAAGUUGUAUUCUCAUUUUCUCCAAAUAUAUUAUUUUUUUAUUAUUAUACUCCUUUUAUCAAGCCCACCGAGCUGGAGCUUGGACAUCGGCUCGUUGGGCUCGCGAACCCGAGCAUAACGAGCCAAAUUUUAUUUGACACCAUAACUGGACCCAAUCACAAUUCUAAAAUUAAAAUACAACCAUUAUAAUAAUUGGUCACAAACACUAUUAAGAUUAUUGAAGGUUCAGAAUUUAAGUCUCAACGUACAUAUUUUAAUUUUUAUUUAUAACAAAUACCUUAUAAAAAAAACUCGAAAAUUAAAUUUGAUUGGUCCCCCAUUAUAUAUCCCGAACCACCUAAUAAAUAAAUCGUUAUAAAUCUUAUCCGGUCGAUAUCAUUAUGCUGCAAUGUGGGCGCAACGUCCCUUUCCAUAUUAAAUAUUCGAAUCAAACCGGUUGAUAAACUCAUAGUGACGGAUAGGGAUAAACAAACAACUCAUGAUAACUAUUAAAGUUUUUGAAGAUCCAAAAUUAUAAUUUCGUUUUGUACGUAAUUUUUAUUUAAUUAUACGAUACUAAUAGUCUAAUAUAUCGUUUUGAGAUAAAAAAGAAUCUCAAUCGGGUUUAAGGGUGUCCGAACUUGAAACGAGAUCGAAAAAAUCUCAGUCAUAUAAUAUAUCAGUACUUUUUUUUAAAAAACAAUUAAAUCUCAUUAAAAAAUAAGGUUAAUGUCCAGUUUACAAGAAUAAAGUGUAGAAAUAACAACAGAAGUAAAAAGAAAUUAAAUUGACCCUCUCCCAUUAGCUAUGUAGUCUAGUUAUACAGUAACUAGAUACGCUGCCUCAGGAGGUUGAUUUUUCAUACUUCCAUCAUAGAUGUUUUCAAAGUGUGACAAUAUCUUUUCUUGUAAUACUCUGAAUCAAAUGAGAGACUAAUGUCUUUAAUGACCUCCUUAAAGACUACCUCAGGAGGUCUCUUAACGUGUUGUCUAUAUCUUUUAUUUUUUUCCGUCCAUAUAUGUCACGACAAACACCCAAUAACAUUUCAUAGUAGUCCCUAAGGGAGAAAGUGGUACGUAAUUUUUUGCAUAGCCUCCGUCAGGUCUCCCAAUCUAAUAUCUGGAUUGAAUUGGGUGGGAACUGAAAUAUUCAUUAUUUUUCGUAAAUACAGAUGCUGAAUUUAUACCAUUAAGAAUAUAUGAAUUUGAUAAAAAGAUAGGGAUAUCUUGACAAUACAACCCAAAACGACAGUGAAAAGAAAGUAGAAAACCAACUUCCAACUUCUAAUCUAUUUUGAUUUUUGAUCCAGAUUUUCGUCGGAGGACAGCGGAAAUGGAGGAACCUUUCAUCGUCGAAGAAUCCAACUUAGUUCGUGUUCAAGGAAGUGAUAGUGUUGAGAAAGGUGAAGGUUCUGGUAGUAAAUUCAACUAUCUGAGACGGAAGUUGCUGAAGAGCAGGUCGGAGGCGAUCACGUCUGGUUCUAAGUAUCAGAGAGCCGCUGCGCUGGUUGAUUUGGUAAAAAUAUCGAUGUACCAUCUAACACUAGGAGUCUAGGAUUAUGAUAGUGUUCUUUUGGGCUUGAAUAGUGUGGGAUUCCAUGUUGUUGUUGUUGUUUGAUAUUGCUUGUUGACUUAUCUUUUAGUUUGGGUUAUGAUUUAGUCUGUGAUUGUGAAUGCUAUAUUGGGGGUAGAUUUCAAUUUGGUUGCGCUGUUUCAGAUGAGAUCUAAGUUUGACUAAAUGAAGUUCAGUUUAUAAAAGAAUAAUUAUUCUGCAUAGAAAGCGACAAAAAACUGGUAAUGAAUUCCAAAUACCAGGGUAAUAUUGACUAUUCCCUAAAGAAAUAUUUAGGAAUGUUUAUGUUUAUGUUCCCCCCCAAAUCAAAUGUAGUCAUGUAGUGUAGAUAUAGUGAUAGUGUUUCAUAUUGGCAUUUUUUUUUUUGCUCCGGAGAUGCCUGACUGUGGUGGCAUACUGGCAUGUCUAAUUCAGAUAAUUAUUCUUUUGAUAAAAAACCCUUCUUAAAUUCCAACAACAUACAUAUGAAUUUCUCCAGACAUACCUUUUGCAUAUUACCUUGCUUGAUAUAAUAAAUUAAUAAUAUUGAAUAUUUAUGAACUACAGUCAUUUCUGCACUAGAAACCUUAAUUAUGGAUUUUUUUAUGAAUAGGUAAUAAUACAUUGCUUACUGUUCCUGUAUUUAGUUGUUGAUGUGUUCAUGACUUCAUGUACAUGUUCUUCAGGCUGAAGAUGGCGUUGGAUUGCCUGAAGAAGUUCUCGAUGACCCAAGAUUUGAAAAGGCGGCAAAAUACUACUUCAUUUAUUGUAAAUUUGACCUGUUAUGGUCUCUUAAUCUUUUUGUCAUGCUGGUGCUUAAUUUUCUUGAGGUUUGUUUCGUUACACCAAAGUGAAUUAUAAAUUAAUCAACUAUCAUAUAAACACGAUAGUCUUCAAUCAAUCCCAUAUUCUGCACUGAGGAAACUAGCAAAGUACAUGUGAAAUUGUCAUUGGUACAUAUGGUCAUGUCAUGUCUCCAAUCCUCAUAUUUAUUUAUUGAAUCUACACACAAGAUAAUUAUUCCAUUUGAUGCCUUCUCCAUCAUUUUUCCCCAUCUUAUUGAUUUAAGAUACUUUUUGAAUGAUAUUUUCAGAAGCCAUUAUGGUGUGCCAGAUCAGUCCAUUCUUGCCAAGACAGAGUUUACUAUUUCCUGGGAGAAUUACCUUACCUAACCAGUGGUGAAUCACUUGUUUACGAGGUCAUUAUUUUUAUCUUUUUCUAUCAAUUUUUUUUGUCAUAGGGUAAUUUAUAUAUAUAUAUAUAGGAUCCGUUUUUGGAACGGUACCUGUUCCGUGCGGACACCACAUCUCGCCAUCCACUUACCUAGGCGAAGCUCCAACGUUCGUCGCUUAUGUCAGAAAACGGUUGUCCGAUGAGACGUCGUCCUAUACCGUGGAAUUGAAUCUCCUGUAGCUCAACCUUACCGUGAAGAUGGAACCGUGGAAUCGCGAUGCGUGAGUUCCGUGGUUCCGUGCUGACGAUUCCGUGCAUCACGAUCAUGGAACUCACGCAUCGCGAUUCCGCGGUUUCGUCAUUACGGAAUCGCGAUGCGUGAGUUAUGCGGUUCCGUGCUGACGAUUCCGUGUAUCGCGAUCAUGGAACUCACGCAUCGCGAUUCCGUCAUCACGGAAUCGCGAUGUGUGAGUUCCAUGAUCGCGGAAUCACGGUUCCGUCAGCACGGAAUCGUGGAACUCACGCAUCGCCAUUCUGCGGUUCCGUCAUCAAGGAAUCGCGAGUUCCGUGAUUGCGUGUCACUAAUCAUGAGUGUCCGACUUGAGGUGAGCUCGUAGCCGUACGUCGGCCGUGAAUCGCGGUUUCGCGGUUCCGUCAUCACGGAAUCGCGGAAGGAACUCAUUGAAUUUUGAGUUCACUACUUCACUGAAUUUUGAGUGAGUUCACUACGUCAGCACGGAAUCGCGAUCAUGGAACUCACACAUCGCGAUUCGAUUCCGUGGUUCCGUCAUCACAGAAUCGCGGAAUCGUGAGUUUCGUGAUCGCGUGUCACUAAUCGCGAGUGUCCGACUUGAGGUGAGCUCGUAGCUGUACGUCGGCCGUACCUGACGACAUAUACCAAAAUCGCUAGGUGAGCUCGUAGCUAAGGGGAUCUGCGCCAUGACGUCCGCUCAGUCGGACGAAAUCUCGGGACGACAUUUGACCGAGGUCGGGACCGUGCGAUGGUGAAUUGACGCCAUCGGAUGAACGUACCGCACGACAUUCGCCGUGCGGACGUGCCGUUCUAGAAACUGGGUGUGUAUAUAUAUUAAUAAUCAAGGAAAAGAUUACAAGCAAUUUGUUCCGGUCCACUGUGAAGAGUGUUAUAUUGCUACCAAGUACCUCUCUCAUGAGCCAUUUUCAAUUUCAAAUUUUUAUUUUGUUUUAUAAUUUUAAAAGAAUAUAUUUAUGCUAUAGUGUAAGGUUGUUUUAAAGUUUAUUUCUAGAAAAAAAUCAAAACUAAAUUUAUUUGUUUGAUGGAUAUAUGUAUGCCUAAAAUGUUCUUUAUUUAUUUAAUGUCUAAUAUUUUAUUCAUAUUGAUAUAGGGAAUAACUUUCUUCAUACUUAUUGUCCAAACACUCUUUCCAAUUUCUUAUGAAGGUUUCCGUCUUUAUUGGAAGAAUCGUUUGAAUAUACUGAAGGUAUUUCUUUUUGGAAAAAAAUCAUAAUAGUGAUACUUUAUAUUUAUUAGUUUUUGAACCACAUGCAAUUGAGAAAGCAUUUUUCCUAUGCGAUAAUUUAGUAGUGCUUUUUUUUUGUAUGAAGUAAAAUUUCUCAUUAAUGAGAGUUAAGGGCAUUGCCCUGAUUACAAUUUAAGAGGAAAUCCUAAUAAAGGAAAUGGGCUAUUGUCCAUCGAUAUUCUCCUCUCUAUUCUCCUAUCUAGCUAUAGUACUUAGUGGUGUAAUAACUAAGUACUUUGUCUCAAGAGGUUGGCCUCCCAAACCUGCAUAGUAGCUUCCUCUAAUUGUGUGUCACAUUUUUUCCUAAAGAUCUCCUGUUUAUAGGAAAUCAUAGUGUCUCUAAUAAUAUAAUCUGACAUAGCCUACUAUUCUCUACCCUAUCUAAAAGUAAUAUGCUAAACUACCAGACUGAGAUCCACAUACAUAAACGUGACGCCACUGCACUAUGUACACUCCCAUGGUUUGGAUCUCACUCAUUGGAGAUCUUUAGGAAUGCUUUGACAUAUUUUUAUAAUUUUAUAAAUAAUAUUUAUAUAUAUUUGAGAUUCCUUAACAUGGAUAUGGAAAGAUCUGCUGAUUGUAUUUAAUAUUAGAAAAUACAAGGAGAAGCUAACCUCGAUGAAUCCGAGUUCUUUAUCCUCUUGGUGCAUUAGUGGCUAACUAAUCUUAAAUCUAAUAGACCUAGUAGUCGGUAGAGAUAAAGUAGUGGUAAUAGUAGUAAAUCUCAGAAGCCUUUCAGAUUGGGUGUGCACUUAGUGCAGAUGUAAAUUUCUCUUACAUUUUUUUUUAUAAAAUUUUACUCUUUACAAAAGAGCUUUUUUUCUUUUCUUGAAGCAAUUAAAUUUCAUUAGAAUAAUGCUAAUGCCAAGUUUACAAAAAUAGAGAAUAGAAAUAAAAAUAGAAGUAAAAAGAAAUGAGCAAAAAGCUCAUUGACUCUCUCCCAUUAGCUACGUAGUCUAGUUAUACAGUAACUAGAUACGCUGCCUCAGGAGGUUGGUCUCCCAUACUUCCAUUAUAGAUGUCUCCAAAGGGUGACAACAGCUCUUCUUGUAAUACACUGAAUCAAAGGAGAGACUGAUGUCUUUAAUGACCUCCUUAAGGACUACCUCAGGAGGCCUACUAGUGUGCUGUCUAUAUCUCUUAUUUCUCUCCGUCCAUAUAUGCCACGACAAACAUCCAAUAGCAUUCCAUAUUAACCCCCAAGGGGGAGAGUGGCGCGUAAUCUUUUGUGCUGCCUCCGUUAAAUCCCCUAAUCUAAUAUCUGGACUGGAUUGAGUAGGGACUGGAAUGUGGAAUCCAGGUGUUCCGCCAACGGAAUUAAUAGAGAUCUAGAAUAAGAACAGUUAAAGAAAAGAUGACUCCUAGUUUCAUCUUCCAUAUUGCACAACAAGCAAACAGAAGGCACUUGUAGUCUCCAACUUCUCAGCUUCUUGAACGUGUUUACGUGAUCCCAUUUCACCCUCCACAACAGAAUAGAGAAUUUUGUCGGCAUCUUCGACCAAAUUCCCUCAGCUAACAUGUCUUUAUGCUUUCUAUUUCUAAUACUUUCCACUAUUCCCCCCAAUUUAUUUAUCGGAGUACCAGAUCUCUACACAAUCGUACUAUUGACCCUAUAAUCCAAACAUUUAUCCACUAGGCUUCUUUCUGAAACAAAAGCUUUCCAAAAAUGCGAAUCCACAGUAGGCCUGAUUUGUAUAUCAUUAAACGCCUUUCCUUUAAUAUACCUAUCUUGGAUCCAUUUUACCAGAAUAGAAUCGCUCCUAUCCCAGUACUUUGAAGCUCUUUUAAUAUUGGUUGCAGUAGUAAUAAUAGUAAGGUCUCUAACCCCUAGACCCCCUUCCGCCUUGGGAAGGACCAUUUGGGCCCACGGGAUCCCUUUCCUUCCGUCCCAUAUAAAUCUAUAAGCUAACCUUCUCACCUUCUUAGCCACAGAGUCAGGGAUAGCCAUACCUUGCGCCCAAUAAGUAUACUUUCCAGCUAUUAUCCAGUUAACUAGUUGUAUUCUCCCUCCAUAGGAAAGACAUUUCCCGCUCCAUCUUGCUAAGAGCGCCUUUACAAAAGAGCUUCCUAGACAAUAAAGUGGACAGUUUUUAUGCAAUGACUGUGUUUGACCAUAAGUCUAUAACGUACAAAACAACCACAUAAACUUACGAAUCCUCAAUCCUCUCAUAGGAAAAAUAGAAAAAUCAAUCUAACAUCAUAAACUCCCAAGGUGUCAAAGUUGAAACAAACAAAAGUGAUCUUCCUUUGUGCUAACAAAAGAAAUUACUGGUGAACUUUUACCUCUCACAUAAUUUAAGAAAUCCUCAAUUAAGAAUAACAUAUACGCAAAGGAUCAUGCUGAAUAUGCUCUAUUAUUCUGUGUUAUUUAUAAAUCAUCCUUAAUGUUGAUACAGAAUUCUCUCUUGGUCAGUAAUUAUCAUAGCAUGAUUGGUUGAUUGUGCAUGUUAGUUUCCUCAAGGAAAAUAAUGUUUUUUGAGGGUUUAUUUGAAUGUAAGAAAUCAUGAACUCUUCGUUGUUGCAACACCCAAUUCUUCGUCUGAUUGAUGUUUUUUGAUAUAUCUUGUGUUGUACUUUUUUUUUAAUUCGAUCAGUUAAUAAUAUUUCCAUCCCAUGCAGGUUGUGCUCUUAGUGCUUUUACUUUGUGACAUGUUGUUUAAUAUUUUCUCUCUCUCCUCUUUACCUGUGGAACAACUGCCCAUGCGGAUUGCCCCAUAUUUUCGUGUUCUGUUCCUUGCUUUAUCUAUCAGGUAAGAUUAUGCUACAAAUUAGUGGAAAACUUAAUUUUCGCUAUUAAAGACAUAAUGCUCGCUUUCGCUUUGCAUUAAACGGCAAAAGUGGGUGAUGGAUUGAGAACUGAAAUAUUUAUACUAUUCGAUGAUUGAUUCUUACUUAUUUCUUCAUUCUUAUAUAUAAGAAACAAAGCAUUUGAUCUUUUAAUUUCAGAAAUAUUAUUAUAUUUGACCAUUUUUUUUUAGGGAGAUUCGGGCAUGCUUAGUUACACUGGGUGGAAUGUUGGGCAUGUACCUUAAUGUUUUGGUAAUAUUGUGAUAUGCCGUUAUUUAUGCUAUAUGCCGUUUUUUAUAUCAUGAGUGGAUUUUCUGUAUCAAUUUCUGAAUAUUUAUUAAUUUGCCAUCCUUGUAAUUUUUUUGUUUUGAGAAUUUGGAUUUUUUUGCAGUGGAUUUUCAUCUUUUAUUUAAAAACCAAAAAACGGCAAAGUUACCUGAGUACAAACUGACUAUAAAUUUAACAUUAUCUAAAAUGUAAAUUAUUUACAUCCAUGGUUUUCCUAUCCUAGUAUAGCCGAACUACACUAUGUGCACCCCUACUCUUUUAUUAAGAUACCAAUACAAUCUUUUAUCAAGCUUGCCAAGCUAUCAAGGAGAGUUUCUCUGCAUUGAAAAUAACUUUUCAUCCCUUCUUGAUACACUUUCAGAUUUUCUGCCAACUCUUCUCUUCCUUGUCAUGUGCCUUUUAAAGUUCGCCUUUUAAAUAUGCCAUACUGCUAUCCCUAAGAGCAACCAGUGUAGUCCCAAACAUGCAUUUUUUUCCACCGAGAUUCUGAUCCAGAUAUUUUAACAUUCCUAUUAUACAAUGAUGGUCGGGAUCAAAAUUAUCCAAUUUCCCAUCUCAAGAUUACACGUCUUCCAUAUUUCUUGGGAGUAUGCACAGUGAUUAAUGUCAUCAUCUUCCAUCCUACAAAGAACAGAUCUAUUUUGAUAGUACAUUCGUGGAUAUGCCCCUAUAAAUUCUAUCAUGCAAGUCUUUUCUAUGGACAGUUCUCAUAUCUCCUAAUAUGCUGGUGAAUUUUUCCAAUGCCAAAUAAGGCCAUUGGAUUCUCCUUUCCAUGUAACAUUUCUCUCCAAAUAAAUAAUAUUUCCAUGGACUUCCCUUAGACAUAUUCUUCUUCUAAUGCAUCUAGCCCAUAUGGAUUUUUUAGAUGUCAUCGUUUUUCCCAUCCUUUUAUGUCAUGGACUCAUGGCAUUCCAUAUAUAUAGCUCACUGACAUCUCUCAGCCCCAAUCCACCUUUGUAAAUGGUUUUGCACAAUGUCCCUCCCUAGAAGAAUUCGUAGAUGAUAUCUCUAACCAUUUCAUCACUCUGAUACUUGCAUUCUGUUUUGACUCCUUUCUUUGCAAAUUCUAUGUCACGGGAACCAAUGACAUAUUGACAUUAAUUGCAACUAAUUAAUUCAUAAUUAUUUCUUUUAAUUGCAGGCUCUUUCUCUUUUGUUUCUCCUAUUUUCCAGUUGGUUAGCUUAUGUAACAUUUGAGGAUACUCAACAAGGAAAUAUAUUCUUUACUUCCUUUGGUACUACGUUGUAUGAAAUGUUUUUACUUUUUACCACAUCAAACAAUCCAGAUGUGUGGAUUCCUGCAUACAAGUAAGAUGAUUUGGUCUAUUGUUAUUGUUUCUUUUUUUUAGUUUAUGUUUGUUAACUUAGAAUGGAUAACUCAAAUCGUCUUAUAAUGACAAUAAGUAUUUGCAUGAAAUCGUGAUUUCUCUUCUCAAUGGGUACCUAUCCACUUCAAAUUUUCCUAAUGAUAUAUUAGGUGGUUGUGGGUUCUCAUAAAUUAUGUUUGUUAUCUAUUUGAAAAAGUCUAUGUUUAUUUAUCUUCUCUCUUUUUGUUCUAACAAUAUUAUAUUCUCGCCCAUCUAUAUGUAAAUGAGGUUUAUUGCUGAAUACUAUUUGAUAUACAUUUAAAAAUAUAUAAAUAUUAUUAGCAGAGAGCAGAUGAAUACCAUCAGAUAUUCAGAUUAUUUGUCACAUGUCCUAUUUUUACUGAACAUGAAAAAAUAAAGGCUUUUUAUAAUUUGUGAUAGUUAGGAUUUGGUAUCAUUAAAAUGGUUUAAUGGCCGCCCAUUCUCUACGAGGUGUGUAAAAUCAUUUAUAAUCUUUUGUCACAGCUUGCCAUUUGACAAAAUAAUGAUUGGACUUAUGAUUGAUAGCCUCUUAUUUCAUAUCUUAUCCUCUUAUUUUAUUUUCAACCAUGAAAUUUACCUAGAUUUCUGGAUGGUUAAAAAUAAGUUCGAUAUGGAAAUUAACUCUAUCUGUUUGCUUUUGUUCAGGAGUUCUCGUUGGUCAUGCAUAUUUUUUAUUCUAUACGUUCUGUUGGGAGUGUACUUUGUCACAAAUCUCAUUCUUGCUGUGGUUUAUGACAGUUUCAAAGCCGAGGUAUAUACAUGAAAAUUCUCAUUUUAUCAUUUCUGAUUCUCUAUUUCAUAUUUUUGUAGUUACUAUUAUGGUCUUAUAUCAAAAAAUCAUGAAAUGAUAUGUUUGAAUUGUCUAACUGACUUAUUUGACUUUAGCUUGCAAGACAGGUCUUUGAAAUGGAUUCAAUGAGGCUCAGAAUCUUGCAAAAGGCAUUCAGCAUCAUUGAUAACUUUGUAAGUCUUCUUUGGUUUGUCUUUAGAGCUUAGGCACUCUAGCGCUUAUUAUUAGUUAUCAUCAUUCAAAAUCUACAUUUUUUUUAAAGGGUAAUUUUUUUUGUUUUUCGUAAAGAAAUCAGCUAAUUACAUAUUUAUUAUGUUUUACAUUUAUCACAUUGUUUAAAUAAUGACAUUUACCUGUAUCCCAAAAUGAUUUUUCUUUUUAUCAUAAACAGAAUCGUCAGUUUCUAGACAAAGAUCAGUGUAUCUGCUUGUUUAAGGAGAUGAACCAUUACAGGUGGAAUCCUCUUUUAGUCAUGAAUCAUUAUAUUGUUGUAAUUUUUUACAUGGAAUCAAUAAUAUAUUCCUUGUUCCCAUGUAUACGGAAUUAAUGUAGUUGCACUUGUUUUCUAGGUCUCUACCAAAAACAUCCAUGGAUGAUUUUGAACUCAUAUUUACUGAACUAGAUGACAGUGGAGAUUUUAAGGUAAUUUUUUGUAUCUUUUUUAAACAGUAAAUUUUAUCAAAGAAAAAUACGAAAAUAAACAGAUAUAUUACAAAAUCAAGAGCAAUUCCUAUUCUAAACAAAAUAAAAUUAAAGUGCUAGAAGUAUUCCUAUUCCAUGGUAUGAAGGAAAGGUGGGAAAUAUCUCAAUAUAUCCAGAUAUUUUGUUAGAAGUAUUGUGGUUAUUAUAGUAAUUUCAUGACUCAUGUAUCCCUAGUAUUCAUUAUAUUUUUUAGAUGCCGACACAUAAUCAAGCCUAUAAUGUCAUUCAUGUCUCAUCACUAGAUCUCCUGAUGUCUCCAUUCAGAACCAAGCCUCUGAUGUCAUCCAUCUUGAGCUUCUCUUGACUCAAGGAAAUGUUGUUUGAACCAACGUUGAUCAACACUCCAACAUCGAAGAAAGAAAAAUCAGUGCAUUGACUUCAUCAUUAAAGUUGAUGUCUACUGAGCGAGUUGCAUUUAUAGUGUGUUGAUUUCUCUCCUGUUCAACAGCUUUUCUUCCUUGUAUCAUUUUUAAUUUCAAUAAUCUCUUUUAUCAAAUAUUUGUGAGAGUCUCUAUUAGUUCAAUAGUAGUAUUGGCCUUGAAAAUGUUGAACUCAAUGUUCCUCAUCAAUGACAAUAAUAAACCUAUUUUGUAUAGUCAGGCCUAGGAGAUCAUUUAAAGUGAAUUUGUUAUUGGGAUUUUUUUUACUAAGAACCCCUUAAUGAUGGACUAAUAAUCCAAUUUAACCAUCAAACGAAAUAAUGUAAAAAAAUCUUUUCCAGCCCACAUGUCGAGGAGCCAUGUGAUGCAUCAAUCGAGGAGAAAUGGAUGGUCAUGGUGUGAGAUCGCUUUUAAUCUUUUUUAAGGGAUCUCACUAGAAGUCUAGAACCCUUUUUUCUUCUGACUCUUUUUCCAAAUAAAAACCUUUUAGUACAGUACAAUACUUACAACUGCACUAUCCCACUAGUAAUGUCUCCAAUGCUGAUCCAAAUCUUCUAGCAAUGGAAAAUAGUCUAAGUUUUGGUACAAAUUAUUAGAAUCUCGAGGAUCUCUUUCACUGUCUCACACGAUUAACUACGUACCCACUUAGAAAUUACCUAAUUAUAUAUCAGGAUUCAGGUGACCUCUGGUAUAUCACUUGGAUUUUUUACCUAUCUAGGAGGGGUUUCCUCUGUUUUCAAAAAAAGCAAAAUUCCCAUAAAUACUCUUUAUUAUAAACAAAUUUCUAUAAAUUGGCAAUAAAAUUGAAUAUGAAUAUUUAACCAGAUAUUCGAAUAUUAUAUGAAUUUGGACAAUUAAUAGUACAUGGAUUGCAGCAGUAUAUAUCUAAAUCAAAUCUGUAAUCCGUUUAACUACAGAUAGUAAAAAAAAUAUUGAUGUUGGAUUAUGAAUCCGAACGAGCGUAAAUAAUUUCAAAUAGACAUAAAUGAAUUCGAACUUUGAUUACACAUAUCCAUUGACCGACCUAUAAUUCACUUUUCACAAUGACAUUUUCACGCUAUUUAAGUUCUAUGAUAUUGGAUUUUAUGCAAUUAAUUAUUUAUCAUUUAUUAAGGAUUUUGUAUGGCGCUAUAAUAACAAUAAAUCAACUCUUUUUAUGUGAUGAUGAUUGUUUACCAAGCCAUUCAACUGCAGAUUAAUAUUGAUGAGUUUGCAGACCUUUGCAAUGCUAUUGCCUCAGAGUUCGAAAAAGAGCCUACUGUAAGUGACAUUUUAAUAGAUUAUUUUUAUUUUGAUAGUGUCGAUGGUAUAUGGUAAACUUAUAUUCAUAUAAAAUGAAAUUGCAAAGGCAAACACACAAAAAUAAAUAAGUUGAUUAAAAUAAAAGAUAGACCAAGGGAGAUUGAAACUGUUUACAAUCAUUGGGUCAGUAGUGGAAACUGGAAAGCCGUCAAAUGUUUACAUAUGAUGAUAUGAUGGUGGAGCCUGAAGAUAGAGGGGGAAAAUAUCGGAACUCAUGGAAAUAAAGAAGCAUAGAUCUUGGCUCAAUUUGGAGGAUAAGUGGAUAACAAUACAAGAUUUUUUGCUGGCAUCUCAAGAGAAGGGGAAAAAACUCACUAUUCAAGAUGAAAAAUCCAGAGGGUCAGUCCCUGACAACUAGAGAGAAGAUAGAAGAUAAGUCCAUUCCAUAUUAUACUGAACUUUUCAUAGAUAGAGAGAUGAAUAUUACCAUGAGGAAUAAUUUCACAAGGCAUACGUUGACACUAUGAUGUGAUAAAUGCUGAUCUUGAGAGAAUCCAUUAUUAUGAAGUUAAAGGUUUGAUGAGUUUAAUGACUGCUUUUAUAUUCAAUGGAGAUUUAUUGGCAUAGAUCUAGUGAAAGUGGUGUAAUCUUUUACCUUUUACCUUUUGGAAUAGUCUAUUCAGAGAAAUGAAUCACACCUUAUUCAUUUUACUCAUAGACUUAAAACUAAUUAUAUGUGAUCCAAGCUUUUAAAUGUGUGAUUGCGCCAGGUUCCAAGGGCAUUUGGGUAAUUAAAUAGAAAUAUUAUAAAUUUCAUAUAUUUUAGAUACUUAAAUACUGAAUAAUAGUAUAGUAAUAGUAAUAGUAAUUGUACUAAUACAAAAUACUUAAAUACUUAAUGUCUAAACAUCCUUCAUGUACUUAAAUUUUACAAUUACAGUCUAUUAAAUACUCACACACAGUCGCCGGAGGAGGGAGCAAGCAUUUGGGGGAGUCUUGGGGAAGAUUUGGAGAGGUUUUGUGGUGUUCUUUCUUUUUCCAGUUCUGGAAAAUGCAAGAUCCCUAAUUUUUUUUAAAAGAUUUAAGUCAAUCGGAUCUGGCUCCAAACCCGACCUGAAUCCGAUUAAGAUCCAAUAACUGGAGAUGCCUUGAAAACCACCUGAGGCACAUUUAUGCACGCGUACAAAAAAAAGUGAGCAACAGUAAUAAUUCCACACUAAUAAUCUGAAGGGAUAGUGAUAACUUCAAUCUGUUUUAGGUAUAUAGAAGUAUAUGGCGCAUUUUUGCUGCGGUUCAUCCCUAAUGCGGAUGACUGCGGACGUUCCAUCCGACCGUCCCCUCCCCUCCCCUAUUCAAUUCCUGGACAACCGCACCUGAAGCGGAUUGUAUAUGUAUAUACUGCGUAGUAUAAAUGUUGAGUAAAUUAUCACUUUUACAAUGAAUGAUAAAAUGUUCAUUCUUUUUGCAGAAAUCUAUGUUUGAAAGUUAUCCAACAUUUUAUCAUUCCGAAACAUGCAAUACGUUGAAAGAUUUUGUCAUAAGUCCCCUAUUUGGAUAUAUUGUUGCUUUUGUGCUCGUACUAAAUUUUGUAGCUGUUGUCAUUGAAACUACGGUAUGGCUGUGAUCAAUGAAGUUUUCAGUGUACAUUUUUUUCUUUUGUAAAUUUGUGGAUAAAUUUUUUAUUUAAUUAUAUGGUAAAUUUUCACAUGGAUCCUGUUUUUGUACUAACUGCUGAAUUAUGUUUUUGAGUUGCAGCUUGAUAUACAAAAUAAUUCUGGACAGAUAUUCUGGCAGAGAGUUGAGUUUUCCUUUGGUAAGAUUUAUGCUAUUUCUUAGAUAUUUUUGUGCUAUUUCUUUUUAUUUUGUUAUCAGUGCCUGCUGCAUUGUUUUAGUUUUCUUAUACUCUGGAUUGUACAUAAUAAUGGAUUAAUGGUACAGUAUGCUGAUAUAUAGUAAUGACUCAAUGCUUUAGUGUUAAUUUGGUCGUUGUAACUUAAUGUAAAUUACUAUUUGAAGUCAUCAGAAACAUCAACCUCUCCGUCAGGGUAAAAGGCCAGAGUGUCAUAGGAAAAUUUGUCGUCACCCUUUGGAGGACACUACAUUUCAAAUGUGGAAGACCAACCUUCCGAGGCAGUUUGUCUAGUUGAUUGUCACUAGGUAGCAUAACUAAUUGGAAAGUAUUGAUGGGUCACAAACCCAUCUCCCUUUUUAUCUUUGUGUUUCUCUAAUGUAACUCGGACAUUGCCCCUCAUUGUUCUAAUGGAAAAAUUUACGGCUUCAAAAAAAAUAUUAUUUCCUUUUAUGAAAAUAUUCAAAUAUUAUUAUUCUUAAAUUUCACCAACAGGUUGGCUUUAUGUCUUGGAAAUAGCUUUGAAGAUAUUUUCGGUUGGAUUUGACAAAUACUGGAUGGAAGGUCAAAACCAAUUUGACUUUGUGGUCACAUGGGUUAUAGGUACAGAGAUAGAUAUCUUUUGGAUUGUGGAGAACUAUAUCUUUUUUUUAUCUGCAAAUGGUUAAUAAUUUCUAAUAUUCCAUUCAAUAAGGCCAAAUCAUUAAAAAAAUUGAGUCCACUGGAUUGUAGCAUUUUUGUUAAUUUUAAUCAAUUCCAUUCAAUAAGGCCAAUUUCCAAACAUUAGAAGGAUUAAAUCUCCGUUUAUAGCAUUUAUGUUAAAAAUAUUGAAAGCUUGUAAUUAUGACGAGUUCAACCUGAAUUUCUUGAUUUUUAAUAUAAAAAAAACAUGCAAUAUAUUUCUCCUGAAAAUGUUUAUUUAUAAUAAAUUGAUGAUGGAUAAUAUUUCUAUUUUGUAUUUGCAGUUCUAGGAGAAACUGCAACUCUCUUUAUCCCGGACGGAUUCACGUUGCUUGCAAAUGGGGAAUGGUGAUGUGUAACUUUUGUCUAAUUAUGUAUCAUUAGGGCUAAGCCUUAUUAGGAACACUUGCCCGAAUUUGAGGAUUACUCGGUCCAAAUGGGCUGAUCCAAUUAUUUUGGGAAAACCAAAUUGGACUCUCUAGGAUUAUGUUAAAACCUAGCUCAAGCCAAUAGAAGGGAUCAAACAUGUGUGUCGGUUGAUCCUAUGCCCAAUUGUUAUUUGGGUUGGGUGACCCGAUUAGAACACAUGAAUCCGGUUUGAGUCCUAGGUUGAACCACAAAUGAGCCUUGACCAAUCCUAAGUGCUUAAGCUAGAGUUUCAUUUUUCAUCUGGUGUUGACCUAAGCGACAUGUCUAGGCCAAUUCAGCCCAUGCUUUGCCCUAAGACCCUAACAAUUCUCCAAAACCUCUAUAAAUAAAGAGAAACUACUUCAAAUUCAUGUUAUAUUUAUUUCUACUCUAGAGCUCCACCAACCUUCUAAAGACACGAAAUAACGUGUAUUCUAAUACACAACCCCUCCCUACAGAAACUAUCUAACUUAUUGAACACUUUAAGGUGUUCUGACCCAGCUUGGAUUAUACAUCGUUAAUUUUAUUUCAAGUAUUAUUUACUGACGUUCUUUUCUGCAACAGGAUUCGCUACCUUUUGAUCGCAAGAAUGUUGCGACUUGUAAGGAUUUUGAUGCAUGUUCCACGAUAUAAAGGGUUUAUAUCAACAUUCUUUAAAUUAAUCCCAGCCUUAAUGCCAUAUCUUGGAACCAUAUUUUUUGUAAUGUGUAUCUACUGCUCUCUAGGUUUACAGGUAUAGUUCCCAUCGAUCACAUGGCCAUAAAAACAUUUUGAUUUUAUAAUAUUUAACCUGCAUUAACCUGAAUAAGUAUGUUACAUAGUUUUCUUUUAUCUUCAGUUAUUUGGUGGACUUGUUUACUCUGGAAAUCCUAAUUUGGAAACUACAGAACUCUAUGAUAAUGAGUAUCCUUGAUGUAUAUGUGAAUUCUCAUGCAUUCAUUUUAUUCAUAUUUCUUCAAUACUCAAACCGAAUUUUCCUUGACAAAUAUAGUUAUCUUCUUUUUAACUUUAAUGAUUAUCCCAAUGGGAUGGUGACCCUUUUCAAUAUAUUAGUCUUGGCGAGCGGACAAGAAUGGAUGCAGGUAAUAAAGUAUUUGUGUUUCUUCCUAUACGAUAAGAUAAUAAUAAAUUUGACAAAAUUGCCAUCUUAUUUGUGUUAAUGCAUUUUCAGACCUACAAGAAGUUGACAGGGACAUCUUGGAGUCUUGUUUAUUUUGUCAGUUUUUACCUUAUAGCAAUCAUGUUACUGCUCAAUUUGGUCAGUAUUGUUGUCCCUUUAGUUUCUAACUUUCUAUAGUUUAUUACUUGUUAACCUAUAUAAAAUUAAUUGUCUGAAAACAAUUAACCGAGAAUAUGUUCGAUAUUUUUUCAGGUUUUGGCAUUUGUUUUGGAAGCAUUUUUUGCUGAAAUGGAUCUAAAUGUACCAAAUGAUGAAGGGGUAAGUGAUCAUAUCAUCAUAGAAUCUAUACUGAUUACUAAUGCUUUAGGAUUUAAAAUCACAAUGCAAAAAGCAUAGAUAAUCAUUUUUUUUGUAGUUCAUUGCUGAUUUGCUUCGCAGAAUCAGUGUUAGCAAACUAAUAUGUUAAAGAAUGAAAUCAAUGGAUAUAUUUUUUUUAUGACCUUAUUACAUUAAUUUAUGCACACAUGUUUUCUUUGUUCAGAGUUCUUCACAGCGUACGGGACGGAAAAUGAUUGGGUAAUAUACUAGUUUUUGUAGUUAUAUUUAUGAUUUGCGAUUUACAAUUCUACUCAGCUUAUCAUAUAAUCAGAUUUAUAUUAAUUAUAUUAUUAUUACACAAUAAUGCAGCUUAUCAAGGAGUCGUAAGGUAGAUGCUCUUCUCCAUCAAGUGCUAAGUAACGAACUCAAGGAAUCUCAGAGCAUGAGACCGUAAUAACUCAGAGGGGGAAGAUUAUAUAAACCGAUCUACUUAUUCUUUCAUUAUCCUUGGUCACAUUUGUUUCCCUUGAAAUGAACAUGUUUAUAUUAUGCUACGGCUCAAUUAUGAGACCUAUAUUAGGUGAGAUCGGGCUAUAUGAGAUCAAAUAAAACCAAUUGAUCUUAGCCUUCCAUAUUAAUAGAUAAAUUACAUUACGUCCAGUAUUCACUAAAAUAUUGAAAUUUAACUGUCACUUCUUAUACUUUCUUAAUCAAAACAUGUUCUUUUUUUACUCCUUGACGGAGUUCUGCAUCAUAAAUUUUUCACAAGAUUUGCCAAAAGGCGAAACAAAAGUUCUUUGACAUUAGAGAAGAUUUCCAAAGUUCUUUGACAAAAGUUUCAUAAAAUUUUAAAAAAGUGGAAACAAAGUUCUUUAGAAUUCACAAAACGGAAAAAAAUUUCCAUAAGAUUUAUUUGGUUGGACAUGAUCAUACUAGACCAUUAAUUUAUCGAUAUAAAAGAAGAUGUAUUACGGUCCUUUAUAAGCCAUAGCAGAUCAUACAGGCAUACAUAUUAAAGGCCGAGAAAUCAUCUAUCAGCAGUCACUACAAGUGGUUGAGCUUCGAUGCGCCUUUUAGGAAGAUAAGGACCUCUCUUCACUGAAUCCUGCAGCUGUAAAUAUAUAGGAAAUCAUAUAUUAGACAAAUGGAAGGAUGGACAAACUGAAAUUUCAUAUAAAAUUAUGACCGCAUUCAAAUAGUAAUUUACUUACUUUUUCCACAAUUGCAGCAAGGGUCGGAUCAACGAUCAUGUUGAAAUCUGACAAGCUUUUGUAGAUAGCUGUGCAACAUUUAUAGCGAUAGUCCAUUCCUACAUGUAGUAUCAGUCAAAUUUUAUCACAAAACUAAUAGAGUAUGAUGUAGAUUAUAGAUGAGAGUUGGCUAAUUAGCGUACCAUUUUUGCUUGUUUCAAUGUGAGAAUCACUCACAAUAUCAAUGAUUUCGUGCUUUGAACAAACUUCGAUCAAGAACCAUUGUCGUGUAAUUAAUGCUGAUAUUAAUCUGUAUGCCUGAAACAAUCAUGUUAAAAUCAUACGAUGAUGGUAAAGAAUUUACGGGACAAAAUGUAAGAAAAAUCUAUUACAAACCUAAAACAUCUUUGUAAAUAACAAUCGCCUCCUAAUUCAUAAUCAAUAAAUCUCAAAAUAUAAUUAUAUAACUAUAGGUUGUUAAUUUAUCCAAAAAAAUAUCACUAGUUACAUUUCUCAAUGUGAAGAAGCUUACCGCAAGUCGAAUUUCAGGCUCUUUUCGCAACACAGAUAGAAUCAAAGCCUGAAGGAUCAGAUGACAAAAAAUAAAAAUCGAUCAAUUUUUAUUAUUAUAAAAAUGAAGGGCAAUGCCCGAUUACAUGGAGAACAUAAGAAAUGUAGAAGAAGAAAAUGUACAAUAGGAGAUAAACCAAAGGGCCGUCAAAUCUUUCCAUUUAGUUGUGUAAUCUAGUUAUAAAGUCUGUCUCAGAAGAUUGGUCUCUCGUACUUUCAUAGCUAAUGUCUCCAAAAGCUGACAACAACUCUUUUUGUGACACUUCGACCCAAAGAAGAGACUGAUCUUUUUAAUUAUCUCCUUAAGAACUACUUUAAGAGGCCUACUGGUGUGAGUCUGGACCUUUUGUUAAAUUUGUCAGACUAUCUAUGUUAAAUUAUAAACAAUUUGCAGCAAUAUUCUAGCAAGCCUAUUCAUUAUUAUGAUUACUAAAAUGUGAAACAUCUUGCUUGUUCCAUGUGCGUAUUGGAAAAAAGUAAAACAUAAAUUACUAACAGAUGGUGUCAGCUUGGAACUAUUGACAGCAGCCUUGUAAAUCAACUGACGGAGGCAGUCUUCUGCAGUACUGCAAAGAAGUAUCCUACUGUCUGAUCGGUCAAUUCCAGCAAUAAUUCCAAGAGCGUGCAAUGCAGCCUAAUGAAAACCAAAAGAUAGAUAUUAGGAUUUAUAAAUAUGGUGACAUUUGAGCCAAUAAAUUAUUACUGCAUCUACCAAUCAUUAAGUUUAAAAUAUACGUCACCUACUUACAAUGUAACAUGAAAAAUAAAAUACAAUUUCUUCAGUGUAAAAAAAUUAAGAUGCUGACUACAGUUGAAUGACUUCAGACCAAUAUCAUGUUAUGACACCUAAACACCCCUUAAAAGGUGAUCUCCAAAUUCUUGCCAUAAACAAUCUACUUUCUUGAAUGGUAGGCUUCUUGAAGAUAAUUUUGUACUUGCAUAUUUGAAGGUUGAUAUAGCUAAAACAUUUGAUAGUGCGUACUGGGUAUGGAUUGGAUUUCAUCAUGGUCUCUAUAGAAUUUGAUCAAACUUCCUUUCGAUAUCAUAUUUUUUAUCAAAAUUCCAUAGCACUUUUUUUCAUUAGAACAAAGAGGCAAUGCCCGAGUUGCAUUGGAGAAAACAAAAAGAUAAAAGGAAGAUGAGUGCGUUGUGUGAUUGACACUUUCCAAUUGGCUAUGCUACCUAGUGAUAAUUGACUAGACAGACCUCCUCAGGAGGUUGGUCUCCCACAUCUGAAGUGUAGUGUCCUCCAAAAGGAGAGGUUGAUGUCUCUGAUCACUUCUCUAGGCAAAAAUGUUGAGGUUUAAGUUCACUUGGGAGAUAUAAGGAGUGUGGAGACUGUUUGGUUUAAUUGGUGCCCAUUAAUGGGGCCAAUUAAGGAGUCAUUAUCUUGGACCGACCCAAGAUAAUAACACUAUAUAUAUCUUAAAAUAGAGACUCAAAACCUAUCUUGCAUGUAAUAGGUUUAGACACCAUCAAUAUACACCAUAUAGAGUGGGUGGAACCACUAUAAAAUCUUAUGAAAAGUAUUAAGGUACUCUAAUUUAAUUCUCCAUAAAAAUAUGGAGAAUUUGGUUGGCAUAUGGGACCAUAUACCAUUCUCGUGUUGGUCUUUAUGGCUUCUAUUUCUAAUCAUCUCACAAAUCCCACCUAAUUUAUUACAUUGGGUGAUUUGGGUCUCUACUCUCCAUACCACGGUAUAAUUUUCUCUACAAUCCAGGGAUGAGUCAAUCAUUUCUCUUGUGCCAAUAUUUGAUUUUAAGUGUGAGUCCAUGAAGGGUUAAAUUCUAAUAUAUAAAGGGCCCUUUGAUAUCUCUCUCUUGGAUCUACUUCGCCAAAAUUGAUUACAAUGAUAUUUAGUUAUUUACAAAGGGCCAAGCAAUCGUGUCUACAAUCCAGGGAUGUGUCAAUCAUGUCUCUUGUGCCUAUAAUUGAUUUUAAGUAUGAGUCCAUGAAGGGUUAAAUUCUAAUAUAUGGACCCUUUGAUAUAUCUCUCUUGGAUCCACUUCACCAAAAUGGAUUACAAUGAUGAAUGAUAUUUAGUUAUUUACAAAUGGACAAGCAACUACGUGACUAGAAGAAAUUUUGAUAAAGAAUCCUAAUGAUCUUUUUGUAUUAACACUAUAAUCUAUAUUACUCUUUGGCUAUGAGCUACUUACUCUAUUACUCAUAUUUUGUUUUAGUUUAAGAAUAAAUAAUAUGUUUAUUUGGUUUUAUAUAUAUUCCGAAAUUUCAUAGGUAUGUUAGUGAUAAGAACAGAGGGCGGGUCGACCUUGACCCGAGGCCCGUCCCAGUCUGAUAAACCAGGCCUGGACGGAUCAGCAUAUGUAUGUUCCCAGACCCAAGCCCACUGAGUUAGAUCGGAUCGCGGAUCGGUCAGGGAAAUUUACAUUAUAAUACCUUUAUUUUCUAAAUAAAUAAAAUAAAAUAUUAACAAUUAACAGUUUAACACUAUAUGUUACAACAUUUAAUUUAUUUGAGGCUAUUGAGUUACAAGUUAUAACAUUGAAUUUAGUAUUUUAUCGAGCUUAUUCAAUUAUUAGGUCUAUUAAAUUUUAAUAAUGAUAAUAAAUAUUUAAUACUAUAUAAACCGGGUCAGAAUCGGUCGGACUUUAGGACGGACCCGGGCCUUCGGGUCACUGGCUCAAUACUGAAUUUUUGGGUCGGAAAAUUAGGCUCUUGCCUCAACCCUAAUGAUUGGACCAGAUCACGGGCCGAUCCAAACCCAUUCUCACCCCAAGGUACAUAUUUGUAAAUGAGUAGGAUUGAAAAGAAAAUUUAGCAUGAUUAAAUACAAGGAUAAGCAGUUGACAACCAAGGAGAUACUUUAUCUCCUUGGACUAAUUGUGGCUGAGAGGAACUUGAUACUUAAUGCUUAGCCCCAAACUCCUAAUCUAGGUGUGCACAAAGUGUAGACAUAGAUUAGGAGGUAAAAAAAUCAUAUUUUUAGUUUCUUAACAGAUGUAAAUGCGCACAUUAACCCGUUCUCAUUUAAUAUAAAAAUUAUUAUUUGCAAAAAUAGAAUUGAUAAAUAAAUACAAAUAUCAGAAGAAGAAAAGUUUUGUUUGUUUACUUGAGACCCAAUAAACAAAUUACUAAUAAAUAAAUCUUAAGUUCAUGUGAAUUUCUUACCAAAACUACACCCCUUCCUUGCUUGCUAAAAGCAGAAUACACAACAUGUCUUGCCACGGGGGAUGGGCUCAUAAACAAUAAAGUGGCUCCAUUAAUUGCUACAGAAAGGAAAGAAUCAACAUGAAAGACAGGAUUUCUGAAAACAUAAAAAAAAUAACACAAAAUGCACACUAAAAUCAGAGGAUAACAUUGUAUGUGGAAAGAAAUUGUGGAAAAUAUAAAACUUAAGCAAUAUUGUAGUAAUACUACUUUGAAACAGAUCUUGUAUUACUGAUAAAUACUAAACAAUGGAGAGAAUAUGUUAAAAAAAAUCGACACGUUAAAAGUACAAUAUUUCAUGAAAAACUAUCCAAGAGAAAAACACUGAUAUUAAAAGCUAUAAACAGCAUUUAAAUCAUGGCCAAGAUUAAAAAAAACACCAUGGGUCCAUUUCCUUGCAUAAAUUAAAUCAGACAUUAGCAAACAGGCUGUCAUAACUAAUAACUAAAAUUACAAACUUACAUGUCCCGACUUGACCCAAUGCUUCUAAUGCACUCUCACAUUCAUCUGUAUUUUCAUCUUUUAGCAUUUCUAGUCUUUCAUCAAUAGCUAGAAGGGUAUCUUUAACACCUGUAAUUUUUAGAAUUUAGAAAAACAGUUAAUUUUAUGUUACAGAAAGGUACCACUAUUAUAUGAUUGUUUUCUAUAACAGAAAUCAAUCAUUGUGUCGUAAUGAGUUAUAGUACCUAGCUCGAUAAUUAAUUUACUUUUGUAAUAGUGAUAGCUUGGCUGUUUUCAUAUAAAUGAAAGAACAAAUUACAAAAAAAAUCAAAUCACUCUUCCAUGUCAUUUUUCCACCAUAAUCAAAUGUUAUAUGGGAUUAUGGGGACAAAGAAUAGCUAUUAGACGAGAAUUUCUACUAUUUUGAGAUGAACAUGAGUAAUUUUUCUUUUUUUUCAAAAUUCUUGAUUCCAAAAUACCAAGAAUAUUGAUAUACAUUUCCUCAGUUUUUUAUUUAAUUUUCUUCUUUUGUAAGCUUGUUUAAGGAAUAAGGAAAUUCCAGAAAAUGAAGAGCUCGAGGUUGCAUCCCCCAGUUAAAAAAAAUGAAAUGUUUAUUCCGGUAGUCUCAAUCCAAUUUGUCCUAACAAAAUUUUUUAAUUUGUAUCGCCUACUUCGAAAGGUGAUUUAUGGGUUAAAACAAUCUCCCCAGAUAUGGUUUUUGAGAUUGAGAGUCUUCUCGCUAUAAAUCGACUUUGUGUGAAGCUUCGUGUAUUAUUUCUUGUUCAUUUUCUUGGGUAAUCACGCUAUGUAUCUGCUCGUCUACAUCAACGACAUAAUACUCACUAUUUCCGAACAAGGGAAAGUAGAUUCACUACUGAUAAAAACAAAGUUCAAAACAAAACAAAAAAGCACCUGCUAUUUUCAGAAAAACUAAAAAAUAGUUAAAAUAGUAUCCUCAAAAUAGAGAGAAUAUAUUAGUCAGGAUAAACUCAAUUGAAAAGUAUUUUACUAGUUUCAUCAACAACAGAGUAAGUAUCAGAUGCUGAAAGGAGUUUUCCAGUUAACAAAAAUGCUCUUGAUCGCAAUGUAGAAUCGAUGGAGUUAUUACUGCAAUAUUCAAAUGGUAUCAAAAAAUCAUAAAUUAAGAAUCACUGAUAUUAGAUAAAAUAAAGUAGUAUACUUUAAUUCUGUGAUCAUGGGCUUGCCUGAUCAAAGAAGAUAAUAACUGAAGCAAGGUUGUUUUCAAAAGGAAUCUGAUACUAUGAGGAGAUUCUGCUAACUGUGAAUGAUAAAAGUAAUACAAAUCAGGACAGUGGAUGGCCAACCAAACUUUGAAUAAACAAAUGGUGAUGCAUGCUAAAAUCACCCUCUUUUAAGUUUUACCAUUGGUAAAAAUACCAUGAAUGUUAAGUAUAACCUUCACACAUUGUGUACUUAAUGGAAGCUUCUAGAAAGCAUACAAUACUAUUAUACUAAUAUAUAUGAUAAUAUGAACUGUGAGCUUAGGUAGGAGCAUACCAAAUCACAAACAGUAAAAGACAAAAUUCAUUGAUAUUGAAUGAAAAAUUGGAAAUAAUGUUGAAUUCUUGAAUGGUGUAAUUUUUCGUAAAUUCAAGGGUGAAUACAGUGAAAAUGUAUUCUUAGUUGACUAUCAGUUACUACAUAAUACAUGCAAAGUACAAGAUGGCCAAAAACAACAACCAAUGAACACCUUAACACAAUGACCAAUUUGCUUGGGUGUUUGACAUUUAGUUGCAUAGAUUCUAAUAAUUAAGUGCAAGUUACUGAAAGAAGUCUUCAAGUCCAUAUUCAGAUAUAAUUCAUAUAACUGUCAAAAAAGAAGUGCCACAAAAGCACAAUUUGACUUUCAUAUUAUACUUAACUACAGAACUGGAAGAAAAACAAAACAAAAAAAUCAAUCACCUCAUAAAGAAGCUCCAGAGCACUUAAGCACAUCAGCAUGUCAUCAGUGUUACUAAUUUCAGCCUCGUAUAAAUUUAGAAGAUUUGAAUCAUAGACCAUUGUAGCGACAGAAAUCGAAAUAGAGAAUAGCUUGGCAAUGAGAGCAAGAAUGCGCACACGUGCCUGGAAUAUCAUAAUUUUGUCAGAACAAAGUUUAAGCAAGGUAACUAAAAACAUCUAAGGUUAUAUGUGCAUUAUUAUUAAUAUUUCCAACAAAUGAUUUUUUUAUAUGUGCAUAAAAAAAUUGCAAGUGAUUUUUUUAUUAAUAGAAAUGGACAGUGCCCCUAAUUACAAUACGAAAGAGAUAAAAGAUGGUAAAGGGAGAUGGAUGGAGGCCCAUUGACUCUCUUUUAUGUAGCAGUUACACAAAGUGAUCAAGUAACUAUGCGCAUUGCCUCAGGAGGUUGGUCUACCAAACUGUGGCCUCCUCCAAUUGUGAAUCACAUCUCUUCCUUCUUAAAGAAUUCUAGUCUAAAAGAUAGACUGGAGUUAUUGAUAACUUCUAUCAAAAGAGAUUCUAGAGGUCUCAAGGCAUGUUGUCUCAACCUUCUGUUCCUCUCGGACCAGACGUACCAAGCUAGUGCUCCAAGGUUCAGUGAUAUCUCUCGGUUUAAUAUCAGAGACGGUGAGUGUUGGUGAGGGACAGUUAGAUAUUUUCCAAAUUGCCUGGUUUAGGAAAUCAGAAACCUUAAAUUAAUAGGAAUCUAAAGUAUUUACAAUUGAAAAACAUUUUUUUUAUAACGGAGGGUACCUCUCUACAGAUGUAGAGCUGUCAACCUCUGGAUGAUAUACCAGAGCCACAUAAUAUAUCAUCGGGUAAAUUUAAGUGGAAAUGUACAAAGUAAGAUUCGAACCCUGGACCUCAGAAACCUUAAUAGUUCCUGAGACCAAUGAACCAACCUUACAAUUGAAAAACAAGCGGCUCACUAAAAGCCUGGUUAAGAAUUUGUGUGUAAAAAAAUUUUUGAUUGUUGAGAAAUACAUCAAGAAAAAGUAGUGAGCAAUACAAGAUUGAGAGAAAGAUGUGUAUUUUAAAAUGGUACCAGGAAGGAAGCAUGAGUUGCUAUCCUUUUCAGAUGAGUUUCUUCAUUAGCAUUUCUUGGAAAGAUGAUGUCCUAAUGAAAUUUAUUCAAAAAAGUCAAUGCUUUCAACAUCAUAAUCCAAUAUUAAUAUUCAACAUUGUGCAGACAAAUAACAAAAUGUAUGAUUUUUUUACUCUUACAGCUCCUUCAGAAAUCAUGGCAAGUUUACUAAUGGCAUCCGUUGAAGCAGAAGCAACAUCUGCAUCACUGAUUGAACAGAGAUCAAAAGUCAAGGUAAAACAACCUAUAAAUAAUCAGGAAUUAGAAAGAAAGAAAAAUGAUGAAUUAAAAUAGAAUGUCAUGAUAUGAUAAACUGACAAUAAAGAACACAUUGGAAUGGAAUGCCAUAAAAAGGGUAAGCAAAAAUAAUCAAAUAGAUACAAUCAUAAAAUUACAAGAAAUCCAUUAGUAAGUUGACAUAUAGUAUAUUACUCAAGGGUUUUACCCUUCCACAAUACAUUAUUAACAACUUUAAUAGGGAAAGAGUUUCCCUGAUCUGAAAAAAUAGAAAUCACAAGAAAUAGUGUCAUAAUUCCCACCAACACCAACCCUUAUGUUCAAUGUGCAAGUAAAUAUCAAAAUAUGUACAAUAAUAUUUGUUUUUAACUUUUUCCAAUAAAAAUUUGGAUUUGUACUAUAAUGAUUUUCUUUAUAAUAGUUUAUGUUUGAACUUAUGAUGAUGGUUUCAAAAUUUCACGUACCCUUCGAGAAGGCAUUUCAGCAAAAGGUUGUAGAUAUCAUUUUCUUUGAUAAGUUGAACAGUAAUUCUGAGAUCCUCAGCACUAUCCAGAAAAAUAUAUACCUGCUUGGGGACAACUUUAAUACUCAUUCAAAAAAAUGUCUUAACUGUCUAGGUGAAAUCAGAAAUAUAACGGGGAAGAUGUAAAGGUAGGAUUUCCAAGUUGUUAAGUACAAUGUUUUAGAUAUAAUGAAAAAUAAAAAUUGCAAUUUAUUUCAGAAAAAAAACUGUGAAUAUAAAAAUAGAGAACUUGUAUUAUAUGAUUGUGCACUUACAACUUUACAGGUUAAGCAUUUGACUAUCUGGGAAUCUGAUUGCAUUCCAGCUUGUACAAAAUGCUGCAAACAAUAAAGAGCAUAAAAAACAUAAUGAAAAAUGGAGUUUUACUUAUGGAUGGGUAAAAGAUAAUAGGCAGAAAUUCCAAUAAAAAAUAUUGUCCGUUGAGAAACCCACAGAAGCUACAUAAAGUGUUCACGUAAACAAUAUCGAGACUAGAACUAAUUGAUAUGGAUUUUUAAUUGAAAUAACGUAAAAAAUUGGUUAAUUUUCAAUAAAUAAAAGUCAUGAUGUCAAUUGUGAAAAUCCACAUGAAGAAGAAACAAAAAAAGUCCACUGAUUUUUAUUUUCAAUCAUAUGCGAUUGUAAUCAGCCAAUCAGGAACUAAAAGCCAUAGAGAUUUAAGCCCAUCCUUGAUAUGGUGGUAGCUAAACUGUUAAGGGCAUGUCUUGUUUAUAAAUCUUCGAUAUUCUCUAGGCAAGGCCUACUUCACUCUCUAAUGAAAAUUUAUCUUUAUAAAAAAAAUGUAAGUAUUUGAUAGAAAAUAGAAAGUUAAAACAACACUCACUAUAUAUUGCGGAAUUAGAGAAGCUCCAUACUUUGUUUUGAAUAUCACCUCUAAGCAAGUAACCAAGUUGCUUUCCAUUAUCGGUUCAUCUACCGUUUCCUGUAAUGCACUGAACCAGAACAAAGAUAGAGGGAAUUAAAAAAAACUAAACUGACUUAUGAAUUCAUAUAGUUUUGUGUGAACUCAAAUAGGGUAAAUCACCCAAAAAUAAAAAAUAAAAAAAAUCACACGAGACAGCUUCAUUUAGUUUGAAUUUUAAAAAGUUUGAUUUCCAUAUUAUAUGAUGAAUCCAUCAAGAUGAAGUAAAGACUGAAGAACACAACGUUCGUAAAAAAACUCAUAAAAAACUUCAAAUCAUGGGUUGGUUUAGUGGUAAAUGCGUCAUUGUUCAAUACUUGAAGUUAGAUACUUCAAUUGUAUUUGUAAUGCAUAUUAUGUACCCUAAGCCCUAAGGCAGUGAUUUUCCCGCUUCGAAUUUACACAAUGAUAAAUUAGGCAAAAUCUAGCAGUCCAGUAUGGUUUCUAACAAGGUAUAAAAACCGGUAACCAGUUCUUACAAACCGGUUAACCAGUGGGGGUAUUCUGUUAAUUUUACAAUUUUGAAGAUAAACAUAGUAUAGUAUAUAUCCUCUCUAUAGAAAAAACCCUGUUUAAACUUUAAAUUAUAAUAGUAAUAGAUAGCAAAUUCAAAGAAAACAGUAAUAGAAAUUCAUACGCAGUGGUAAUAGAAAUUCAAACUAAAACAUAGUAGUAAACUAGUAAUAGAAAUAUUCUAGUCUUCUAGAUAUUAAAAUAGUAGUCUCCAAGAAAUUGUAUUCUAGAUAGUCUUUAAACCUUUAAAAAAAAAUUAAACAGAGCAGGUAUUCCAGUGAGAUCCGACCCGAAUACUCGAUUGCCCGAUUCUACUAACCGAUCAUCAAUUACUAUUCCGGUCAUCGGUUUCUAAACCUUGGUUUCUAAAAUCAACAGAAUGAAAUUACACCAACCGGUAAAAGCCUGAUUAAAUGAUAAAAAUCCGAUGAACCUGAACAGGAGAGUGAGAGGGAACCGUUCAAGAAACUCCCUCACAGAAUCUUCAGUCUGCAUUCCUACAAUCCACGAACAGAGAAAAAUAUCGAGACAGUUAAAACACAAAAGAAGAAAGAGAGUGACAAGAUUUAGUAGAGUACCAGGGUAAGAAGCGAAUUCUGAAGAGGCCUCAAUCAGAGGAUCGAGAUCGAUCGAAGAAUCGCCUUCCAUUUCCGAUGAGGAGGAGGAAGAAAGGAAGUGGAGCUGUCAGCUGUGUAACGGCGCUGUGCGAGACUACAAGAGUAGUGGUGAUGACACGUUUUGGUUUUGGCUAAAUUUUUAAUUCUUUUCUUUCUUUUUGAGCUAUAAGGCCAGCCAGCGGUCGGCCCAAAAUAGAAAAUUAUAACUAAUCCACAAUCUAGUUGGGCCAUGAAGCCUUGAAUUUUUUUUCUACAACUUUUAGAAAGUAUCAUGUUAUCAAUUUUAUGAGUUAGGAAUCUAGGAUCAAAUGCGAUCAAAUUGGAUGCCUCUGGGUGUGCUCAUCUUAUCCUAGUUAUUCAUAAAGAUAAAAUAAUUGGUAUGGAUAGCUUGUCAAACGUAUCGAGCUGAGCUUUUGCUUAUAGAGCCGGACUCGGCUCGUUAAAGAAUUGUCCAAGUUCGGGCUCAGUUCGUUAAGAAAUUGUCCAAGCUCGAGUUCGGCUCAGAUCCGAUAAGCUUAAAAUUGGAAGAAAAAAAAUUGAAUAUUUUAAAAAAGAUUUAGAUUUUUAUUUAAGUUUUUAGUAAUUUAUUCAAUAAUUUUUAUUUAAGUUUUUUAUAAUUUAUUCAAUAAUUUUUAUCAAUUAAUAUAUAUAGGACAAGUUUUCUGUGUGUCGAUUUUCAAUGCAACAAAAAAUCCUGACUAUUAGAUCGACAUUUCGUCGUACAUAAGUUAGUGUCUUUUGUUGUACAUUUUUUUCGUCGUACAUGUGUUAGUGUCUUGUACAGUAUAUUAUUGUAGUUGUUGGAUUAAAAAUUAAAGGACAUAAUGCGCACGACGCAUUUUGACGCAUCGACGUACGACGCCCCUGAAAAUUACCGAAUAUAUACAACUUUUAAUAUUUAUAUUUUAUUUAAUUAUUAAGAAGCUCUUGCCGAGCUUAUCGAGCCGAAUUUGAAAAGUCUAAGUUCGAACUCAUCUCGUUAGGCUCACGAGUCCGACCUUAACGAACCGAGCUUUAGUUGACAUUCUAGGUAUAAAGUUUAGACGUUUCAAUAAGAUAAUAUAUUUAAAGGUUUAUUCUGUUUAUAGUCACAAAAAUGACAAAAUGUGGUUGGUAUCUAAAUUAAUUGCUCAAUUUUGACAUAGAAAUAAAUUAUUUGACCAUUCAAAUUUGGAUAAUAGUCCAAAUUCAACGUAUUUUUAUUUAUCUUUGACUGCAAAUUAAUAAUUAAUAACUCAAACUAUCGGUCAAUUCAACCAUGAAUUUCAAAGAAAUGAAAUAAUAUAACAUCUGAUCAUCUGAUCUUUAACUCAAAUUAAUACUAAUUUGUAAUGACUGAUGUUUUAUACUAAAAAAUUGAACAUGAUUGAAUAAGAUAACUGAUGUUAUAUCGCACAAAAAAAAUGAGUUCAACUGAUUUCAUUAAUUAUUAAAAUGGUUGAAAGUCUAAAAUUGUUGUGGAUAUAAUUUUCACGUGGUUCUGGUAUAUAGAUUUUUAUAAUCUAAAAAUGUUAUGAUUAAAUCUCAAUCAUUUUUUAAAAGUCAAAAAAUAAAAAAAUAAAAGAUAUUGACAAAAUACACAUGUGAUAUAUGCGAUGUUUCGUGUAUACCUCUCUCUCUCUCUCUCUCCAUGAAUAUGUGUGUGUGUUUUUUUAAUGUGUUUCCAUUUUUCCAUAACUUAUUAUUCAGUUAUUCUACUCAGUUCAGGUCACCGGAGUACGUUGUGGAAGUAUCAACAAACAGAAAAUGACCACCGGAGAUGAGAAAAUCAUGGAUAUGAAACUAUUGAAGGGAGUGAGAUCUGGUGACGUAUCUCAGUUGAAGAGUUUCGUCAAAUAUCCCAACAUUGAUAGUAUCUGCAUGUCGGUUACGGCUGGAAAGAACAACAUCCUCCACAUCGCCGCAAGAUCCGGUCGGAAAGAAUACGCGAUGGAAUUAGUUUCGCUUGUAAGUUCUUCCACGUUCCGGUCAUUGCUUAUUCAACCCGACUGCGGAGGCAACACUCCGCUCCACUGCGCAGUACUUGCUGGACACUCUGACUUUGUAUCCUUUUUGGUUUCCAAAAUGGAUGAUGUCGGGAUUGAGAAGAAGAACCAUCAGGGUGACACAGCUUUGCACUUGGCGGCUGCCAGAGAUUCCGAUGAGGAUUUGGAGAUUGUCAAGAUAUUGGUUGAAGCUUGUGAGGGGAGAUUGGGAUCGGAUGUUAACUACGCCGAGGAAUACCCAAUCUACGUCGCAGCGGAGAGGGGCGGUUUUAAAAUCAUGGAAUAUCUUCUUAAGUUUCGAGAAUUUCCGGCAACCGGUCCCGAUGGUAAAUCAGCUCUCCACGCGGCUGUGGCACGGAGUAGAGCUGCGAUAUUCUCCACACGUCUGGUUAAAGCGAGACCGGAACUUCUGACAAAACAAGACGACCGAGGUAGCACUCCACUUCACUACGUUGCUUCUUGCGGCGAUCAAAUGAUUACCAAGUUACUGUUGGCAUACGGAGACGAUCACGCAACAAAAUCUUCCGACAUCGAAGAAUACGGCACCGGUGGCUUAAAUAAUUUCCAUCUCUGGUCAAACCACGUUGCUCAUAUCUGCGACAAUAAGCAUAAGCCACCUAUCCAUGUCGCCGCCGUUAUGGGCCAUGUAGGGGUCGUAAAGUCAAUACUGGAAUCGAGACCAGAUGCAUGUGAGCUUGUCGACGACAGAGGUCGGAACUUCCUCCAUGUCGCCGUGAAACAUAAGAGAAUAAAUGUCGUGAAGUAUGUGAUCGAGGAAGAUGAGUUGAGAGAUUUACUAACGAAUCAGCAAGACAACAACGGAGACACUUCGCUGCAUCUGGCGGUGAGAAAUCACCAUCUGGAGAUCGUACGGCUUCUGUUGAAAGUUGAGAAAAUCGCCAAGCUUUUGCGAAACUUCCAGGGAAUGAAACCGCUCGAUCUGGCAGCUUCCGAUUUGAAAUCUUCUCAUAUGGAAUAUCGCAUGGUAAAAUGAAAUCUCUGUUUAUCAUCGUUUAAUUUUAUAUGUUGAUCACUGAUCAGAUCUAAUCAAAGUACAUUUCUGCAGUUCAAGGUGAUAAAAAAUCUGAUAGAGUCCGGGGCGGAAUUCAGCGCCAAGAGAUUGGACCUUGUGGUUGUGGAGAAUACGUCGGAUGCCAAUAAAAAACAGGAAAAGGAGGAGAUCGAACGUUGUAGAGCCAUCGCCGAUAACCUAACCAUAGUGUCUGUCCUGAUCGCAACAGUGACCUUCGCGGCGGCCUUCACUUUACCUGGUGGCUACAAAUCCGAUCCCGGCACCGAUGCGGGAAUGGCGGUGCUAACCAAUCGGAAUGCUUUUCAGAUAUUCCUAAUCUCCAACACACUGGCGAUGAUCACCUCCAUCGUCGUCACGUACCUCCUCGUCCAAACAAGAUCUCAAGACCACGACGUUCGUAUGCAGUCGAUCCAAACUUCGAGGGGGCUGAUGAAGAUCUCCAUCGCAGGGAUGUCGCUGGCAUUUGCGACGGGAACGUACGUCGUGAUCUCAACUGACUCCGAAUGGCUCGCCUUAGUCGUCAUCGUGAUGUCCUGCUUCGUUCCGAUCGCUCUCUACACGAUCAAGAUCUGGCCGUCGUGGUACCGAGUAGUGGUGAACGGGUUCAAUAAGAUGAUGAUGAAGGUGUUCGAUGGAGCUUUUGAAAUGCUGUUUGUUAGAGAAUUGGAGCUUCGUAGUAUCGGGAAAUGGAAGCCGUCGUUUAUCCGUCAGCAGAUUUCUCAGCGCAAGAGGAUCGAUCUAUGGCGGCCGAACAGUAUGACUUAUUUCCACACUCCCCAAGCAACGUUGGCGCCUGGACUCAAACCUUUCACGAUCCGUGAGUAUUAAAACUGACGGUUUGAACGGUUAUUUAAUUUGUAUUGAGGUUGAAAAUGUAAUUAUUUCAAAAAUUAAAAUAAAUCAGAGAACAAUAUAAUGAUAUAUAAUUAUUAGAUGUGCGACCUCGUGUGUAUUAGUACUUAAAUUAAUAAUAUUAAUGAACACGAUGACACACGAUGACACACGACGACUCAUUUCUUAUAAAAUAAUAUACCCCAAAGUGAAUUUCUUAUGAGAAUUACUGUUGUUUUCAAAAGUACUUGAUGAUGCCAAUCUUACCGUCAUUACCGGUCUGCUUCAAUUGAUCCAGCUUAAAAUUAACCUGUGUGUCGUACCCGACCCUCUGUCGAGAGUCGACCUUUAAGAAACUUAUAUAAACAUUAAAAACUACAAAUUUUAUUAACAAAUGGAGUUUUUUAAACCUAAAACUAAAUCAUACUUAAGUGAGAGUUAGAAUCCUUACCAAUUGAUGAACCCAAUAUGAACAACACUAGCUAGAAUAAUGAAGAGAGGAGGAGACCCACAGAUUACGACCAUGACAGUGCAAUGAUCUCAGGAAGGAAAAGUUGUUUUUUGUUAAGAAUAACGUUGCAACAAAAGUUCGGUAUUCGACAAACUAUUCGGUUCGUUUCGGUAACCAAACCCGAACCUUAAAAUAGAUUCGUUUAAUUAAACGAACCGAAUCCAAACCUUGGUUGAUGUUCGACGAAAUUCGGUUCGUUUAACAUUUUUAUUAUAUUUUAUAUUUAUAUUAUAAACUUAUAUUAUAUAAUUUUUUAUUAUAUAUUUCAUAACUUAUGUAUAUUUUUGUAAUUUUUCAUUAAUAUAGUAUAUUAAUGUUGAUUUUUAAUUAACAACAAAAAUAGAUACCUAAAGAUUGACUCAACAAAAGAAAAUAGACUAUAAACAAUGUUUUUUUAUUGUUUAUUUUUCAAAGAUGAUCAGAUAGACAUAUUUAUUUUUAGGAUAAUGUAAAAAAAAAUCCAAUAUUCGACGAACUAUUCGGUUCGGGUUUGAGUUCGAAUUCGAUUAGGUUCGAUUCGGUUAUUAAACGAACCGAAUCUAAACCUUAGGUAUUCGGUUCGGUAGGUUCGAGUUGCAACGUUAGUUAGGAGGCACACACCUGGAGGGCGAGCGCAUGUCGUCCCUAUGGAAAGAGAAGGAAGUCACCAGCCAGAGGACAAAUCUUAAGAGACUAACUUCAAGUGAGAUAUUUGACUUCGCCUGUCUGUUUUUCUCGAGAUAUGAUACUGGUCUGACCUCAAGAUGUAAUCCGUAAAAGACAAAAAAACUUAUAACAAUAAGAUGUCAUAUGAUAAUGGAUCUAUCAAUAUCUCACGAGAUAUCUUAUUUUGAAUAUUUCACAAGAAACAUUGCUUAUUAAAAUUUAAUUUAUUUUUUUUCUCAUCCAAUUGUUUCUCAAAAACACUAACAGUCUAAUAUCAUCCAACUCAAAUAAUUGAACCAAUGGCAUAAAUGUUAUUUUUUCCAACUUUAAUAGUAAUUAUUGUGAUUAUUGAUUAGUAUGUAAAUGGAUUUUUAAUUAAUCUAAAACAUGUCAUUGAUUCAUUAGUAUGAUUCUUUCAGGCACAUAGGGGUUAGAAUGUAAAACUAAAUUUUUGUCAGGGUGGAAAAUAUAAAAUUUUAUAAGUUUAUAGGGGAUUUUAUAUAAUUAAAAUUUAGAAAGUAACUUUUUACCUUACCCCUAAAAUCGUAUAUAUUGAAUUUCCGCAAAUCCUAAGACCUAAAACCCCAAAAUCGAAUUUCACAUCUUUUCCCCUAAAUUUCUAAAACCCUAGUACACCAACUUUGUUUUCUCCCAACCAGACUCCUGACGAUCUCUUCAUCUUAUUAUCUCCAAUCUGCAGGUAUUAUUUUCAAUUAUUUAGCGUCAUACAUGUAUAAAAUAAGUUAUGAUCAUGGUCUUCAAUCGAUUUUAAAAAACAGUACAUAAUCUCCAAUAGAUUAUUUUCCCAAAUCAAAUAAAAAUUUUAAAUUACUCAUAAUCAUAUAUCAUAGUUCAUAUAUUGUAUAUUUAAAACAGUACAUUGAUUUUUUAAAACAGUACAUUAUCUCCAAUCAAUUAUCUGAUCUUAUUUUUUAAUGUUAUACUCUUAGAAUGCGUCGGUUUUUUAAACCACUUAUUCAACGAUAAUCUGAAGAACCCCAACCCACAGAACAUCAUUAACCUAGUGAACCAAAUCAACCAAUUAACAUAAUUGAAUGCGAUGAGGCGAUUUUCGAAUCCAUAGAUCGUCCAAGUGAUCUGAGAUGGAAAAAGUAUUUGGAUGUCAAAAUUUUAAUUUAUAUUUCAAUUAUGUUUUUAGGUUGAAUUGCAAAAAACUUAAUGUUAUAAGAGGGUCAUGUCAAAAUUUGGUUGGAUCUAUUUAAUUAGCAAAAAAACCUCCGGCGGGGUUAUUAAAGAUUUAUCCAGAGUGCGUCCAAAUUCUGCCUAUGCCCUUAAAUUCAAUCUGGCAUAUCUGAAAAUGUAAUCAAUAAUAACAAUCAUCAAUUUUUUUCAAAACAUUAUAUCUGAUAUAACAUUAACAUAAACAAUAAACAAUAAAACAAAAUCUUAAUAACAAAAGAAAGAAAUUUAACAAAUGAAAACUAUCAUUAACUUCCCCUCUAAUACACUUCAAGAGAAACCGCUCUGUUUAUCAACUUCCCCUCUAUGUCCAAGAAUACCAAGAAAAGUAAGUUACUGUAAUCAAAUUGAAGUGUGUGUAAGUUUUGUUGUGUGUCAAAAAUAAGGUGAAUAACAUCAUUUCUGAGUUAUCCAUAGACAUCCAGUCUUCCUCCUCUAUCAUCGUUUAAUUUUAGAAAUCUUGAAUGUAGGAUUUUUUAGACCAUCAUCGUUGCUUUCCGGCCAUCUCCUCUCCAAUCCCAAAAAGCCUCCAGCCGUUCCUCUCCAACUCCAAGAAGUCUCCGAUCAUCUCCAACUCUUUAUUUCUCCAAGAUUCUGGUUAAUUAGCUAUUUUAUUAAAAUAACAGAAUUUUUGAUAGUCACAGAUUUUUUUUAAAUGACACCAAUUUUUAUCCAAUUAGUUUAUAGUUUAGAAUUUCAUUUAAUUAGUAGUAAAUAGUAAUGCAUAACAAGGUUUUUGAUUUGUCGCAUAUGCGACCAGGCGCUAACCCCCCAUCGCAUAUUUGGGGGGUCGCAUAUUAUGGGGCUUAGCCGGAUCGGAUCCGGCUAAACCCGAUCCAUUUACCCAAGUACAAAAUAUUAAAAUUGAAAUAAUUAAAUGAAUUAUAUUAUUUUUUUACAACUUAAGGACCUUAUAAAAAAUACCCAAUUAAAUAAAAAAUAUUUCUAAAUCUAAAAACUAAUAAGAAAAUACUCAAAAAAACCCUAAAUCCUAAAUCAGUUUACAACGAAAUCGACGAUCGACUGAAAACUACUGAAAAUCCUAAUCGACGAUCGACGAAGGGAGAAGGAUCGCCUAUCACGAAGGAAGGAUCGCCUAUCACGAAAUCGACGAAGGGAGAAGGAAGGAUCGCCGCUGCUUCCGCGAUUUCCAGAAAUCGCGUUUCCUGGCCGCUGCUUCCGCGAUUACAAGGUAGUUCAGAGUGGUUCCAGUCUGAAAAUUCUCAAGUAGUUCCAGUCUGAAAAUUAAAAUAGCAGAUGUUGUGUGCUAUUAGCUGUGAUUAACUAUAUUUACAGUCAAUUAACAACAAUUUGCUACAUUUUUUUCUUUUAACAGUUUCUAGUUAGUCUAGAUGGGUAUACCUAACGGGCAGUACUUUAUUUUGCAUAACACAUAUGCAUCUUAAGGUUAUUUUACAAUGAUGAUGUCUUUAAUCACAUCUGCACCUUGAUAUUUAUUUUGAUAUAAACUUGUAAACAAUAAAGUAAUAGCUAUGAGCUCAUCAAAUUGAGAAAGGAAAAGAUUGGUGUGUGCUGAUUUCAUUGAAUUUAGAAUAGACAGAUCGAUUGAGAGAACACAAAUGUUGUUGGUGAUUGAUUACUGGUUAUAGAUUACCAGUUUCUCUCUUUAAUACACAAAGUUAGGUAUUUCAGAGUGGGGUGGGCGAAUUUUCAUAGUAACAUCUGGAAUUAAAUCUGGAAUUCAGAGUGUUCCAGUCGGUGGAGUGUUAAAUUAAAUCGGGAAUUCAGAGCUAACAUCUGAAUUUUUUCCCUUAAAUUUCACAUAUUAAUAUCUGAAUUUGUUUUCUUAAAUUUCAGAGUUAAGAACAAAUUCAAACCAUGGAUCAUGAAGAAGAUGAGCCAAUGAAUGUUUUUGAAGAAAAUGUGGAAUUGGAUGACGAGGGAAACAAGAAAUUCAAAUGGCAUCCAUUAACCACUGAAGAAGAAAAAACAAGCCCAUUGAUGAGACCAAAAUCAAAUGAUCCGGCUUGGAAAUAUGGGGUUGUGGUGAAUAAAGACUCAAACAAGGUGAAGUGUCUUUUCUGCCAUUUCAUUUCGAAAGCGGGGAUUGCUCGGUUGAAAGGGCAUAUCAUUGGAGGCGACCGCAAUUGCGUGAAGUGUCUAAAAUCAACAAAAUUUGUUCGAAAUGAAGUGCUUCAGUAUGAGAAUACGAGGAAGGCUAAAGCAAUGGCAAUGAAAAUGUCUAAGAAAGUUGUGGACGAAGAAUCUGAUGAUGAUGAUGUAUUGAUAGUUGAAGAUAAUUCUUCACUUCCGAAGAGAGCAAAGAAGCGGUCAACUAUUGUGAAGCCGUCAUUAGGUUCAUCAUCAGGUUCGAACCGUUCGAUCAACGCGGCCGUAGGUGCAUUGUCCUUGAAAGAAGGACAGAAAUUAAGUGACAUUGUGAGAUCUAGAAUGGGAGCAAAACAACCACUAAUUGUUGAGCAGUUGAAAAAAGAUGAAAGGCUUAUUGUUGAUAUCUGUGUGGCGAAAUUCUUCUACAACGCCGGCAUCCCUUUCAAAAAAACCGCUUUAAACGCUUAAGCGUCGCUUUUUAAACUAUGGUUUGAAGGUAUGGUUGGAGUUAUACACCUCCAACUAUCAGUAGAUUACGCGGCUCUCUUCUAAAAGGUGUGGUUACAAAAAUUGAUGAAAUGAAGAAAGACCACGAAAAAUGUUGGUGUCUAUCUAGUUGUUCUCUCAUGUCUGAUGGCUGGAUGGAUAAGAGGGGAAGAUCAAUUAUCAACUUUAUAGUUAAUUCAAGCAAGGGUUCAUUCUAUUUCUACUCUAUUGACGCUUCAGCCGAAACGAAAACUGCCGAUUACAUUGCAUCUACCUUAGAUAAAGCGAUGCAAAAGAUAGGAGUCAAAAAUGUUGUUCAAAUUUGUACAGAUAAUGCGAGCAACUACGUUAAAGCUGGGGAGAAACUAAUGGAGAAAUAUGAUCAUUUGUAUUGGACCCCUUGUGUCGCCCACUGUAUUGAUUUGAUGUUAGAAGACAUUGGGAAGAUUAGCUCUCUGAAGAAUGCUAUUGUGAUGGGUCGUAAGAUCACAAACUACAUUUACAAUCAUUCAGUGAUACAUUACGAGUUUUUGAAAAAGUCUAACAACAGAGAGCUAGUUCGUUGUGGGGUUACUCGAUUUGCUACAUCAUUUUUCACCUUGCAGAGCAUUAAGAAACAUCGAGAUGCCUUAAGUGCAUUAGAUUGGCGUAAAUGGAUUGAUGUUGGGAUUGGACAACAGAUUCAUGGUCAUAUCUUCAACAGUAUUUUUUGGAAAAAUUUAGAUGAUUGUAUGGCAGCUUCUGAACCAUUGGUGAUUUUGUUGAGAUUGGUUGAUGAAGAUAGUAAACCAUCAAUGGCAGAGGUCAUUCCUCGUUUGGAAGUUGCAAGAAAAAGAAUUGAAACUCACUUUGCAAGUAAGCCGGUGAUGUUGACUAAACUAAAGGCGAUUUUCACCAAGCGUUGGGACAAACAUUUUCAGAAGCCUUUGUUUGGAGCUGGUGCAUUUCUAAACCCCCAUUUUUACUACGAUUUGAAGGAGGGGUAAGCUUUUUACCUUUUUUUUUAAAGGUUUCAACUUUCAAAGACUAAUUGCUUACUUUUGAAAUAGAUCUAGAGAAGGGCUUAUAAAGGCACUAAGAUAUGAAAAAGAUUUCAGAGAUUGUAUGCUAAGAAUGACACCUCUUGAAGAGCAUUCACAAAUCAUGGAACAACUCAUUUGUUACAAGAAUAAAACAGGUGACUUUUCAAUGAAGGUAGCCAUCGACACGCUUCCAACAACGGAUCCUAGUAAGUGAUUUCAGAAUUUAAGAUUGAAUUAUUAAAAUCUUACUUAGGCAGUUAGGGGUGUCACUCACUAUGUUUGAUUUCAGUAAAUUGGUGGUCUAACUUUGGGGUGUCAACUCCGGAAUUGAUGUUGUUGGCAACGAGAAUCAUAAAUCUUACUACGACAGCUUCUAGUUGCGAGAGAAACUGGAGCAAUUUUGAUUUUGUAAGUACUUGCGACUUUGAAUACAAAAUCAAGUAUGCUUCUGUGAUGUAAAUGAAAUUUCAAAUUAUUAUUUUUUCAUCAGAUUCACACCAAAAGAAGAAAUCGUUUGGAAGUUGAUCGGUUGCACAAGUUGGUUUAUAUUAACUACAACGAACGUUUGAAAGAUCGAUUUCUGAAAAUAAAUCGAAUAGACGAUAAGACCUAUGAUCCCAUUGCUAUAAGUGAUAUCAAUUACUCUAGUGAAUGGGUAACGGGUGUCGAUGGAGCAUCUGGUGAAUUUGUCUACGAAGAUGGUGGUUUGACAUGGGCUAAUGUAUGGGAAGCUAGUGGUGUGCCCGAGCAUGAAGGACCAUCAAUAAGAGCAAGAAGAAAUGUCAAUGAAGAUGAUGAAGAGUUUUUGAUGGAUCCGCACUUGAAUGACGUCGAAGAUGAACUUGACGACACACUUAGUUAGAACUUAGAACUUAGAACUAAGUGUUUGAAUUACACUUGUACUUUGAUGUUUGAAACUAAUAGUUUUGUUGUUUUGAAUGUUUCUUUAAGUUUUUGAGAUUUUAAGAGUUUAUCAUUAAUCACUAUAUUAUUUCAAUUAUGAUUUUUAUUAUGACUUAUAAUAUCAGGGAUUUAUUUAAAAUAUAGAAAAUACAGGGGGUAUAUUGAAAAAAAAAAAUAAAUAAAAAAAAAUAAAAUAAAUGUCGCAUAUUGGACCGCAUAUGCGACCAGGCGGUCGCAUAUGCGGUAUGCGGUCCCAGGCAUCACCUGGUCGCCUGGCCGCGUGAAAAAGCUUGAUGCAUAAUAGAUAAUACAUCAAAUAAAAAUAAUUUCUUCAUUUGUACUUAAAUUACUUCAUUGAAUUUAUGUACUUCAGAUUUCAGAACAAUGAUUUCAAAGAUUCAACCAUUUGCUCUAAGUGCUUCUCCAAGAUAUCCAAAUUCAAUAGCAUGGUCAGAAGAAAACCUCUUGGCUGUUUCUAAUGGUCAUAUGAUCACCAUCUUGGUAUGAAUGCUGAAAAACAUAUGUUUUUUAUAUAUAUUCUUGAUGAUUUCAACUGAAUUAUAAUUGAUGCACUGUCAUUAUAGUUACUUAUGUUAUCUGUCAUUACUCACAGAAUCCUUCUCUGAUAUCUGGUCCACGAGGAUUCAUCAUACUUCGUCCAGACAAACCCUUCCCUUUAGGAUUGGAUCAAAUACAAGGUGAGUAUCUAUUGGAGUGUUUAAUAUGUUCUUUUAUGUAUUAUUUACUAAUCACUGAUAGCAUAUGAAUGGUAAUAUAGAGUCUUAGCCCUUUUUUACCUUACUUGCCUUUUUUUGUCAUUGUUAUGAAUUAUAGAUCCUCACGAUCCAUGCUUAUUACCAAUGAUUUUAGCAUGUGGAACUCCGUUGCCACGUGCUCGAUCUAUCUCCUGGUCUCCAUCAGGUCUCGCUCCUAAUUCAGGGUAAUUAACUGGAAUCUAUUACGUUUGAUUAAUUUGAUGUCAUGGCUAACAUUUUUCUCCAAAUUUUGUUACUCAUAUCAAUCUGGGGGAAUGUUUUUUUUUAAUAAAAUCGUUGCAGAUGUCUAUUAUCUGUGUGCUCUGCCAAAGGAAGUGUCAAAAUUUACUGUUUCCCACGUUCUAAUCUUUGUGCAGAAUGGACAGAGGUAAGUGAUAAAUUUUGUAUCUAACUAUGGCAUUAUGAAUUGAAUUAUUUUUUCACAUCCCAUGCCCCCCCUAUCACAAUGCCACUCCACUGAGGCUGUACCGGUGGGAGAAAGCUAAGAUGGUCAGUAUUUUUGGUUCUCCUAACGACAAGGAAAAAUCUAUUGGGUGCUGGAAACCCCUUCCCUCUUUGAAAACAAUGUUUAACAGGGAGAGGAAUCACAGAUUUUUAUUUUUAGGAAUAACCCCAUCCAUCAAAGAGCAAUAGCAUGAAGAUUUAUGAUGUGCAGUGAGAAUUAUGAGACACCACCACAUUGUUUCACUGGUUGAAAAUCCUUCUAGACUCUUACUGUUCAUUACAGGUUAAAUACCAGAGAUGUACUCGAUGUGGGAAGCUAGGUACUUAGGUCAUUGGAUGGCAAAGUGCACCAUCGAGUUGGUCCUUCCAACCGACCACAGCCUGAGCAUGCAGACACAAAGAGACAGACAAAGACAAUCCAUAAUUCUGAAAAGGUUGUGCAUUAUGUAGAUUGUAUCUAGAUCUAUUAAAAUCAAACUCGAAUUCAGUGGAUUUGAGAUUGUUCUUCUAAAAAAGCGAAAAGCGCUUCCACUUUUCAGGAAGAGCUUUAAGCGCCCAGGGGUAUUUUAGUAAUAUUCUGUAAAAAUACAUAUAAUCCUAUAUAAAUACACAAAAUUUAUAGAAAAUUAAAAAUACUUUAUAAAAUCACAUGUAAUAUAACAUUAAAUAUUUAAUUCAUACAUUUAAAAUUAAAUCCAACUACAAUUAAAUCCAACUAAAAUCUGAAAAUGGGGUAAGAGUUUUUAAUUUAAGUUAGAAUAGAGGGGUAGAACAGGAAAAUAAGGCGGAUCUUUACCCAAACCCGCCCGAUUACCCGCUCUAGGAAAAGAGCUUCUCCAAGAGAGCUUUAGAGCUUUAGCGCGCUUCAAGCGUGCUUAAAGCAGUGCUUUCAAAACUAUGGGGAUGGAGAUGAAGAAUUGAAGAUUAAGCAAGAGAAAGGAGAUUGUAUUCAUUGGAAUUCACCUAUCGAUAAUACUCAGAAAAUAGUAGAGAAAACAAAAAAGAAACAGGAUGACAGAGAUAGUAAACAGUAAUAAUACCAGUAUUGGGGUAAUGAGUAAAAACUGCCUCCUCUGUCUUCUAUUCUUCCCUUUAUACUCAUAUUGUGUAUGAAUGGAUUUACACGAUGUGAGUUCAUAAUAAUUAGGAAGACUGAGCUUGGACUCGAAUUGAAUCAAGCCCAAGAUCAACUACAUUAACCAUGUUAUUUACUUAUUUACUACAUCAGUGCAGACGGUUGGUAAUGUAGUAGAUGAGGCACAAGAAAGUAUCAAAGAUUGGGAUGCAUGCUUUUACGCCUGUGCGCCCGCAAAGGGUGAUGCAGAUCCGGGUCUGAUCCCCCUUAAUUUAAUUAAGCCUAAUUUAAUUAAUUAAAUUAGGGGUCUGAAACACAAAUCACCCCUAGCACUCUUUCCACCUCCAGUUCUCCCCUAUUCCAGCCUAGGCGACCUCCGGUGAGCUUGAUUUGCACCAGAAAAGAAGAAAUCUAUAUAUAUAUAAUUACAAGUAUGUCACGGUUUUUUCCUUUUUUAUGCUAAUACAAAUAUGACACUGGCGCAAAAGCCCCUAGUGGCGGUGCAUCGCGUAAAGGCGCAUUCCGAACCUUGACAAGUAGAGCAGCUUAUCGCAAGCUUUUUCAUGCGUCCAUACGGUCAUGCUAUGGCCAUACAGAGGGUUACUGCUCUGAUAGAGAUCGCGAUUAAAUGGGUUUUCCCAAUAGAUAGACAGACUUUUAUUAUUUUAGGGUUAGGGUAAAUGGGCUUUUGGGAUAGGAGGAUCCGGGUGCAUGAAGACAAACGCCUACAUGCACUGGAGCGCAUGGUCGCAUAUGCGACGCCUAGGCGUUGCAUGAAAAAGCUUGGCUUAUCGUACUACCAGUCACGACUCACGAGUCUAUAGAGCCUAUGGAAUGAUACUUUGUAACUCUGGACAUAACUGAAAGUUUCUGCAACAAUACUGUUUCAAAUCUGCUCCUAUGCUCCAGCAUGUGGUCCAUUUUGUCUAGCAAAGAAGAAGACAACAACUCUAAGUAUGGCAUUGUUAUACAAGAGCAUGACAAAACAACAAUGAGUGGUUGGGAUGACGAGGACCAGAUGAAAACUCGCGUGGAGUCCCUUGUGGAAAUUGCAUGCUAGUGGAGCACUUUGCCGUCCCCUGUGGAGCAAACAAGAGAUUAAUUUGGAAAAAGGAUGGUCUAAAUGGGAAUUUAGGAAACACUAUCCAAAACAUAAGAAAAUCCAGUCACAAAGACCCAUUGGCAGAGAGGAUCUGGUCUCACAUGCCCUCAAAAUUCUCAAUAAUAAUAUAAUAUUAUGGAGAAUUAUGUGGUGCUUGCUAACAACCUUUUCUAAGCUACAAGGAUGGGGAAUUAACACUCAAAUUGCCUGCUUGUUGUGCGAAAAGAAAACUGAAUCAAUAGGACACCUAUUCUUUAAUUGUGAUUUGUCAGACACAUCCUUACACCCUAACCCUACAACAGAAAUACCUUACUGGCCAUAGCUGAAGCACUAGGAAACCUAUUAUGGAAGGUAUCAAACACCUAUAUCCCAACCAGCCUUCACAUAGACAUUCAUAGAGGCAUGCCAAAAAUUCACACACCACUCAGCUUGCUGAGCACUGGAAUGCAUUGGGAAGUCUGUCAUGGCACAUCUAGAAAGAACAAAACAGAACACCAAAGAAUCACUGCCCUAGAGAUUGUGGUUAAGGAGAAAAUAACUUUAUGCAGGAGUUUAGUAAGAAAGAAUGUUUAAGCCUCAAGGGACGAAUUACAGUUUUUGAAACUGUGGGAGGCUUCAAUUCUGAGGGAAACUUUUGACUUCAGUCUCUCGUUCAAACCAGAGCAUUACAAGAAGAGCCGCUAUUAUCCAGUAUCCACUGGAGAUUGCUACUCUGCAAAGCUGGGAGAUCAACCAAUCUCCUGAGGUAGAGUGUGUAAUUUUGGGCACUACCUCUUCAUUUCUAAUGAAAAUCUUUAAUUUCAUGCAUAUGAAUCUACAUCCUAUAAGAAGCACAAUCUUUCACAGAUUGAAGUACAAGCUAUACGCUCAUGGGAGUCCAACCUCUUGAGGCUUCAGUCCUUGGCCAGUUAGUCAGGGUCAUAGCUAUAUAAGAGAUAGACAAUGUUUUUACAUUUACUGUAUUUGCAUUUCCUUAUAUUCUGUAAUCUUGGGCUAUGUCCAACCUCCUUUUUCAGUAAUGAAAGUUUUGAUUUUUCAAAAAAAAAAAACUUUAAUUUCAUGGGAAUUUUUUUUCUGAGGAAACUUUCCUAGUUUUUUUUUAAAGCAAUUAAAUUUUAUUAAGAAAAAAGGGCAAUCCCAAGUUACAUAGAGUAUAGAAAUAAAAACAGAAGUAAAAAGAAAUGAGCAAGAAUCUCAUUGACUCUCUCUCAUUAACUAUGUAGUAUAGUUAUACAGUAACUAGAUACGCUGCCUGAGGAGGUUGGUCUCCCAUACUUUCAUCAUAGAUGUCUCCAAAGGGUGACAACAAUUCUUCUUGUAAUACUCUGGAUCAAAAGAGAGACUGAUGUCUUUAAUGACCUUCUUAAGGACUACCUCAAGAGGCCUACUAACGUAAUGUAUGUAUCUUUUAUUUUUUUCCGUCCAUAUAUGUCAUGACAAACACCUAAUAGCAUUCCAUAAUAGCCCCUAAAGGGGAGAGUGGUGCGUAAUUUUUUACGAAGCCGUCAAAUCCCCCAAUCUAAUAUCUGGAUUGGAUUGGGUGGGAACUGGAAUAUUCAUUAUUUUCUAGAAGGCGAGUUUCAGGUGCUCAACCAACAAAAUUAAGAAAGAUCUGGAAUAAGAACAGUUGAAGAAAAGAUGACUCUUAGAUUCAUCUUCCAGAUUACCAAGGUAUGAGUUGCGCCAUAGCGCGUAGUGUCGGCCACCCACGCUAUGGGGAUAUAGCGUGCUAUAGCGCGCUAUAGAGCCUCUAUAGCGCCAAGUGUAUUUUUAAAAAUUCUAGAUAUAUACAAUAAUUAGUGAUCAAGUUAAAUCAAUAGUUUUAGAAAUGGGGAGAAAUCGUGAGAUCUGGAAGAGAAAUCUAUAUAAAUACUAACCCUAUUUGGGUGGAUCCUAACCCGAAUCCUCCUAAAGGUCCAUUUCCCAUAGCGCGGGUAGAUAGCACCGUCUACCCGCGCUGUGGGGUAUAUAGCGUGCUAAAGCGCGUGCUACUCAAACAGUCAAACCUUGCAGAUUACAUAACAAGCAAGCAAGAGAUACAUGCACUUUCCAACUUCUUAACUUCCUGAACGUGUUUAGGUGAUCCCAUUUCACCCUCCACAAGAGAAUAAAGAAUUUUGUCAGCAUCUUCAACCAAAUUCCCUCAGUUAACAUAUCUUUAUGCUUUCUAUCUCUAAUACUUUCCACCAUUCCCUCCAACUUGCUUAUCGGAGUACCAGAUCUCCACACAAUCGUACUAUCGGCCCUACAAUCUAAACAUUUAUCCACUAGAUUCCUUUAUGAGAUAAAAGCUUUCCAGAAAUGCGAAUCCACAGUAGGCCUGAUUUGAAUAUUAUUAAGUGUUUCCCCCUUAAUAUACCUAUCUUGGAUCCAUUUUACCAAAAUAGAAUCACUCUUAUCCCAGUACUUUGAGGCUCUUUUAAUAUUGGUUGCAGUAGUGAUAAUAGGUAGGUCUCUAACCCCUAGACCCCCUUCUGCCUUAGGAAGGAGAAAGGACCAUUUGGGCCCAUGGGAUCCCUUUUCUUCCAUCCCAUAUAAAUUUAUAGGCUAACCUUCUCACAUUUUUAGCCACAGAAUCAAUGAUAGCCAUACCUUAUGCCCAAUAGGUAUAUUUUUCAGCUAUUAUCCAAUUAACUAGUUGUAUUCUCCCUCCACAGGAAAGACAUUUUCCACUCCAUCUUGCCAAGAGCACCUUUAUUGGCUGGAUUAGCUUCCAACAUUGUCCAAAUGACUUUUUCUUUCCCAUGAUUGGUAACCUUAGAUAUGAUAUGGGUAAACUUUUAACAAUAUAUCCUAAUAUGUCAUGCAAAGAUUGGUCUUCUGCGCAUACUUUCGAGAAGGUGGAGGAACUCUUGUUCGCAUUUACUUCUAAUCCGGAAAACAACGAGAAUUUCUCAAGCAGCGUCUCAAUUGCAUUAAGCGAUUUCGGGUUUGCCUUUGAGAAGAUGUGGAUAUCAUCCGCAUACAUAAGGUGAGAUAUAGAAGUAACACCAUUAACCUGAUAAGUGUCUAUCCUUUUGUUCUUCACUUCACUCUGUAUCAAUCUACCUAGAAUGUCCAUAAUCAUGUCAAAUAGAACAGGAGAUAGAGGAUCACCCUGCCUAAUCCCCCUCUGGCUUUUGAAAGGAGGUGUUGGAGUCCCUUCCACUAAAACCGAGAAUGAAGCAGAGGAUAUGUAAUUCCAAAUCAAUUUGCAGAAUAUAGGAGAAAAUCCAUAAAAUAGGAAUAAUGUUACAUAAUCACUAGGAAAGUAGGAAUAACGUUAGAUCAGAUAUGAGUUUAUAGGCAUGUCCAUCUCUCACUUUAUUUUUUUAAUUUCCGAGUUUUUCCUACAUUUUAAUGGAUUUUAACUUCAUAAAAUAAAAUUAGAAUAUUUUCUGAAAUAACUGUUUUAUUUCUUUAAUAGGUUGUUGACAUUUCUGAUAUGUUGUGUCAUUUUUUUUCUAAUACCAACUUCAGUUUCCUUUCAACAAAUUUUUUCCAUGUAAGACUUCGCCCCUUUUAUUAUUGAUUCGGUAUAUGCCACUUAUUGCAUGUUUAUAUUUUAUUAUGCUAGCAUAAUCUCUUUUGUUCACUCUUCUGAGUGUAUUAGCAUAUUGUUGAUACGAGUGUGUGUGUUUUCUUUUUAUAAAUACAGGACUCUGGCAUAUCUGAAAAUGUAACCAAAGAUGACAAUCAAAAAUUUAAAUCUGGCAUAACAUCAACCAAAACAAUAAAAAAUGAAGCAAGAUCUAUCAAAAGAAGGAAAGUAAAUGAAAGCUUUCCUCAACAUGCCUCAAGAGAAUAUGCCUCUCGCAGUGCUUUAGUAGAAUCCCAUUAUUGUGCCUGGUCACCUAUAGUGCAUUCAUUUUCAGGAUGCAGUUUGGACCAUACCAACAAACUCCCCAAUAAGUGUGCUAUACUUGCAGUGGGGUCAAAAUCUGGCCAUAUUUUUUUCUUUAGGGUUGAUAUGCCCAAAUCUUGCAACAUUGAAGAUGGAAAUUCUGUUAAAGCAGUACUUGUUGGAACACUGUCCGCCCAUAAUUCAUGGAUCACUGCUAUUAGUUGGAGUUUAUCGAAAUCAGAUUCUUCAAAUCCCCACUUGAAUUUGGCCACUGGCUGUUCAGAUGGAAGGUAAGAGCAAAUGAGCAAUCAUAUGUAAUGUUUUUUUUUUCCAUUAAUGAGAAAGUUAAGUAGUUAACUACGAGUAUAGACUACUAAUUCACUUAGUUAAUUAGCGACAUUAAAGUUAUAUCUAUAAAGUAUAAACAUGGUCAGUAAACUAGUAAGUUGUUUUAUUAAUCUUUAUCAAUCAUGGUUAGUAAACGUGCACAGCUCCAACCAUGAUAGAGGAUAAUAGGAUAUUGUAUUAUUAUCAAUCACUAUAUAUUUCUCUUUUCCUUCUCUUACAUUUCAGCACUUCAAAAUCUUGUUGAAUUUUAGUGUUUUUAUAUUUCAGUGUUAAGUUAUGGGUGGGGGCUAUUAGUGGUCUUGCUGGCUCUUUUGAGGUUAACAACGCAUGCUUCUCUCUUUUAAAGGAGGUAAAGUUUUUAUCUUUAUUUUUAAAUUAAAUUUAUUAUAACGAUAGUUCAAUAAAAUUAAUGUUUUUUUCUUCAGCUCGUACCAGUCAAUUCUGUGCCAGUCUCAACAAUUUCUAUGGUUGUUCCCGCUAUCGCUCUUGAUAAGAUUAUUCUAGCUGUUGGAAAUGGAUCCGGAUGUUUGGAAUCAUGGGUAUGUCAUGCAUCAAGUAGAAAAUUUGAAAGCUCUGGGAUCUGUCGUGCCCAUGACUCAGUGGUAUGUUAUCUCUCGUACAACUUCAUGAACGUAAAUUUUUCUUUCCAAUAGAAAUUCGGAUAUUGGGGUGCCAAAUAUUUCAUGUUGCUUUUUGAUGAAUUAGGUUACUGGUCUUGAAUGGACAUUCAAUGGUGACUUUUUAUAUAGUUCUGGCCAGGUAGUGAUUUUUUUGUUUAUUUUCCAUGUAUUAUUUUUUUACUUUUCUUUUUAUGAUCACAUUGUUAGUUUGUUACCACUAUUUUUCCUUUUUUGAAUUUUAAAAACUGAUGAAACUUUGUCAUGAGAUAUGAUAGGAGGGGUCUCUGCGUAUAUGGGCUUUGUGUGGGAGAUUGUUACGUGAAUCAUCUUUUCCUAAUAGCACACCAAAGAUCAAACCACCAAACAACGUAUGAUGCAUUCCAUUUAUCUGUGAUCCAUAUCGUAUACUCUUAAAGGUUUGAUUAAUUUUAACUUUGUUUUGUUUUGUUUUGUUUUGUUGCAUUUGCAAUUUUAUAUUCAGGUUAUAGAACUUUCAGACCAUUGUUACGGUCUGGCACUCUCUCCUGGAAAUCUGAUGCUUACUUUUGUAUGUACUUUUUUCAGUUUGCUUCUAAAAUAUAAUUUUUAAUUAUAAUGAUAAUCUUAUUAUUAGCUUAUUACAUCUUUUAAUAAAAUAGCCAAAUCAUAAUUUAAAAAAAAUGAUUAAAAUCAGGUUCAUGAUUUCGAUAGCGAAAAAUUAAAUCCAAUGUAUCAGGCCAGGUUUGAUACUUUGAUCUCAUUUUCUGUCUGGUUUUGACUUUUGAAUAUCUUAAUUUUUGAUUCUCUGACAUUGCAACUAAUUAAACUCACCUUUCUCUUCCCUAUUAUAAACCAUAGGAACCAGAAAGCAGGAAUUCAUUUCUUAUGGAUGGGUGGUCGCUUUGAGGUUUCAUCAGACAAAACAAACCUCGAUCGUAAUAUGUAUGGUUUAUCUAAUUUUUUAGACAAAGAAUUAAUGAGGUGGCAAUCAGAUAUAUUAUCUUCGUUAAAGAAGUACGAAGAUGCUGACAACGAUUUAGUCCUUUGGGAUAUCUUGUUAGUUUUAUCCAGUUUCAAGAAAUUAUCACCUAAAUUUGCCGAGCAUGUACUUUGUGAGUGGCUUUCUAGUUGGUUCCCAAACUUACCAUCAAAAUCAUCCAUCAAGAAUAUCUUAUAUCAUGCUGAAAGUUUGCUUUCAAUUCUGACUACUCGCAAAUUACACCUUCUAAGUAUUAUGAGCAGACGGUUGAUGCUUGCAGAGGUAUUACCAGAUAGAUGGAGUGGAUUAGUAUAUGAUUAUGUAGAAGAUUGUCAGAAUGAUGAACUAAGUUUGUGGAAAAAUCUUCUAGCUGAAAUUGAAAAGGAGCUGUGUAAGAGGCUUUUGAGUUUUUUCUUGAAAGUUAAUAUUUAUUUUGCUUCUCAUCCUUUUGCCAAUUGGGUUCCAUUUUCAACCAUUCAUAUGGAACAAUGGGCUAAUAUGGCAGCAACUUCAGAUCGACUUAAACUACUUAUUACAGAAUCCAGAGGAAUUAGCUGCAGGUAUUAUGGUUAUUGACUGUUUUAUAUAUGACAAUAUGUAUAUUAAAGCUAAGUAUCUUAUCUUGUUCUUCAAUUUUGCCAGAGACAAAGAUGACGAUGAAAAGUUGAAUGAGACCUGUAGUAUUUGUUCAUCAUCAGUUCCCUUUGAAUUUCCAGAGUACGGAUUCUGUAGGAACACAAAGAAUAUGCACAAACUAACAAGGUGUUCUGUGUCCAUGAAGCUUUGCAGAGUCACCAAGUUUUUAUGGUUUUGCAUGUGCUGUCACAGGUAUUCUGAGAUAUCAGUUCCAGUAUCAUUCUUCACAAUGCUCACAUCUCCAUUAGAGGCUAAUUUUAUGGUUCUAGAUUCAGAUUUGAUUCUCGACUGUUCUAAACCCAUGUGUCCAUUCUGUGGAGUUUUCUUAUCAAGACACCAAUCUGAGUUCCAUCUUUCUAUAUCCCCUGUCUAGAUAACAUUUUUUCUUGUUUUCUCUCUUUCAUUAACCUAUUCAUAAUUUUUUGAUUGAUUUCAUAUAGGAUAUUUUUUAUUAUUUAGAAUCAUAGGUAAAAAUGUAAAAUCAAGUUUAUUUGUAUUAUAUCGACAUCUAUUGUCUAAUGAUUAAUGUGUAUUAUAUUUUUGAAAUUUCACAGUACAAAACUACAAAUUUAGAACUUUCGUGUCCUAAUUCACAUUUGAUUAUCAUUAGUAUGCCAAAAAGUAGCAGUGAAAACAAGACAGGUUGUGGGCAGUGCAACUUUGAAGAAUUGGAACAAGAUUGGGGCGGCAUUGUCUCUUGUCCGGCCUUGUAAAGCAAAGUUCGGGACCUAGUUGUUAAAUAAGAAGACAAAAUGAAAAAAGUGGCAUUCCAUUAAUACCCAAAUAAAAGAGUUCAACCAUCAAAUAAAUCCAUAACAAAUUUAAUGUUUACAACAUAUUGAAGUAGAAAUUAAGGAAAAGAUGAAAAGAAAGAUGCACUACCAUAUUCAUGCGCAAUAAUUUUGGUAACGGAAAAUAUAUCAGAAUCACAUAAUAUAUGAUCAGUUACAUGACUUACAUCGUAUUAAAAAUUAAAUUAAAAUACACAGUGAGAUUUGAACCCAAAAAUCAUUAAAUAUAUAUAGAAUAAUUUUCAAAUGAACUACUAUUAAGUGAGUCCGAAAACUCAUAUAAUCCUGACUAUUCAUUUAUUUUAUCUUAAAAAAAAAUUCCUCCAUCUUGCACUAAUCUCGAGGUUGAUAAAGGUUUACAAAAAAAAUUAAAAUGAAGGACUCAGAUUAGACGAGCGUCUUUUAUCUCAUAAAAGAUGAGCUUUUAUGAAAUUUCUUCUAUAUAUUAUAUAUUUGAUAGCGAAAGAUAUUUUUUUAUAAGUAAAAAUAUUUACCUUCAAAUGAUAUAACAGAGUCACAUAAUAUAUCAUAUUGAUGAAAAUUACGUAGAUUCGUAAUUUAAUUUUUCUCUGUCAAUUUUUUUUAAUAAUAACUGUGAUUAAUGAGUUACAUAAUGGAGUAUAAAUACAUGCACAUAACAACCUGAGCCCAAUAAUGAAAUUGAUUUAAAUGUGGUCCCUUUACAUGAGUUGGCACUCAACUCACUUCCAAAAUUCAUGUGCUAAUGUUUAGGAGAAGUUAGCGUAUCAAUUUGUCGUCCCGCUUUAAAUUCAUCGACGGAUUUCUUACGUUUCUUAAUUUAUAGAGAAAAAAAGAACAACCUCGAAUAAAUCAUCAUCUAUCGAUCGAUUUAUCAACACCUCCAUCAAGUUCAUUGGUUCCCGUUAGGGACCACAUUAAAUUUGAGGUGUAGUCUGCAAUUCAAGUUUCUUCUUCAUCAUCAUCAUCAUUGUCUUCCAGCUAGAUCCAGAGACAUCCAAAUUCAUGAAAUUAAACCCCAAUUAAUCAAUCAACUGAUCAAUUAAGUGACUCCCCUGAGUCAAGCAAUAACUUCAGAUGUAAGGAUUCAUUAUUUUAUUUAUUUAUUUAUAAGACAAGCUUUUGGUGUAUAAUUAUUAUUUGAAUCAUUUAUUUUUCACUUUGAAAUUGAAAAUAAGAUUUUUUUUUGAAACAAAACCAACUGAUAAUAUAAAUUCCGAAACAAAAAAAAGGGUGUGAUCACAUGCGAUCCACCCCACACCCUCCGCAUUGUUCCAACCCCGGAUCUUACGAUCAUUUGGGUCCACUAUACAUAAGUGAUUCCACAUAUCGGUUCUACUUUAAUAAUAGAGUCCACCCCCUGGGGGAUAGAGCUCUAUAUGGAUAUAACUUUUUGGUCAUUCCAUUUACCAAUUUGUCCCCUCCUGUAGUAUUUGGCAAAACAGGGUUCUAUUUUUAGUUGAACCCUAUCCCACCAUAUACCUCAGUUUUAGUUUCCCUUAAUACAGGUUUCUAUUAAAAUACGAUUACAGACUCAAUAUCAAAUAUGAAGAAUUAAACAAUUUUCACGUUAUCGCCAACUGGGCACCUUCGGUCCAUAUAUCCAUCCAUCUCUGUUCCCUUCUCGUAUAUACCUUUUGCUUUAUACUUGUCCACCUUGAAUGUCGCUGUUACAUCCUGUACUGUCCUCCUCCCUAUCUCCUGUGGGCUCGUGCGUCUGUCCUCAUGCACUCUCCUGUUCCUUUCGGUCCAAAUUCCCCAUACUAUCGCUGCCGUGUACGUCCACGUCAGUUCCCAGCAUGGUGAGUUCUUUGUCCUUGCAUUUGCCUGUGCCAUGACCUGUUCUAAAGAUAGACCUGCACACGUAAUCAAACUGGGCUUUGCAUUUAAAAUAUAUGUCCAUAGAUCCUUGGAGAACUUGCAUUUGAAGAAGACAUGGUCUUGUGAUUCCCAUGUCCCCCCACAUAAUAUGCAGGUCUAUCAAUGAAUGAUCAUUAAUUAAAAUAUAACACAAUUAUAAUAUCAUGAGCAUUAACACUUGAGAUGUAUUUUAUUUUUACAUUUUUUGCUUUAAUUUGAAAUCUUAAACUAAGAAACUAUAGUGAACAAUUUAUUCAAAUCUCAAUAUUAAAAAAAGAUUAACACACAAUUAAUGCAUAGAAUUUAACACAAACAGUCAAAUAAGAAGAAGAUAAAUAAAUACCAUCCAAAUGACCUUCCGAUCCGAAAUUGCGAAAGAAGAUAAAUAAAUAUCAUCAAAAUGACUGAAAUCAAAUAAGAAGAUAUUAUUUGCAAAAGAAAUCUUGCCGACCACGCUAACAUGAAUUUUCAUCGUAUGAAUAAUGUUAAUUGGUUGAAUGAUAUUUUACUAACAUAUGUUGAAAAACAUUUAUUUUCUAGUGUUAAUACUUAAUAAUGAUGAUAUUACCUAUCGAUACCAAAAUACGACACAUAGUCAAGAAUAAUUGGAUUGAAAAAAAUUAUUUUUGAAUUUGAUUUACAAUUAACCCCUCAAAGAAAAAAAAUUCUGGAUUCGCCGUUACUUUCUGGUGUCAAAAUUAGCUCAGUAAUAAAGUGUCUUAUAUAUAGACUUAUAUAUAGGUAAUUAGGUAUUAAUAUUAUAAUUAGUAUCUUUUUUCUUUCCAAAAUUGCCUUUCAAAUCAAUCAAAUACCACCCACCAUACUGAUAACAAAUCCCCUGUGGUCAAGCAAUAUAUAUAAAGAGUAAUUAUCAGGUGUGCCGAGGUCAAAAUGCACAAAAUUAAUCCUGUUCAUUAGAUCGACUUUGCGUCGUACAUAUGUUAUAUAGUGUCUUUUGCAGUACAUUAUUUUACGUCGUACAUGUGUUAGUGUCUUUUGUAGUACAUUAUUUUAACUAUUAGAUUAAAUAUUAAUGGACACGAUGCAUUCAAGGUACGGCGCACCUGAAGUGCGCUCUAUAGAUAUACCCCGCCUCGACAUUUGGUUUGUCGUGCCAGAGAUGCAAGAGUAGAUCAAGAGACCCGAUUGUCCCCAAAACCCAUUACUCACGCCAAAACCUUACAAAUUCUAACAAAGUUGAUCUAAUGGUAAAUAUUACCCGAGACGCAGGAUCAGGUGCGACCAGACUGAGUGCGAUCAUGAUGGUCGAUCAAAGAUAGAUCUAAUGGUCCACACUAAAAUUGAAACUGACAAGCCGGCCGAAUCCGGCCAUGUGGUCUUGCCGGACUAGAAACGACGUCUAUUACCCGAUGGUAUAUAUAUUCAGUAAUAUAGAAUUAAUUCGAGUGGCGUCUUUGAAUUUUUUUUUGGUAACAGAGCCACAGAGGCUACCUUUCUACAAUUAAAAAAACUAGUUACUUCUGAGUGAUAUAUUAAAGUCACAUAAUAUAUUAUCGGUUACAUCAUAGUGAAAAUUAAAUAAAAAUCACGUAUACAAUGAGCUAGAAUAGAACCUUGAACGUAGUUUCAGUAAUUUUAAUAGUUAUCAUUACAAGUUGAUUUAAAAUUUAAGGUUCUUUCUAUGGAGUUUUAUACGAAAAAGCCUUAUAUUUCUGAAAAUUACAUAAAGGUCCAAAUACUGUUAAAAAUUAAAUUAUCUGAUGUAAUUAGGUGAGAUCUGUCUGAUGUUCAUCAUUUACCUGGCCAAGUCUGGCUGAGUGUGGCGAAUUGGACAAGGUUUGAUGGCGACUUUAUGACCCUAACCAAUAGCAAUUGGUAGAAAUUAAACAUCUCUUUCGAUUAAAUUCACGUGAAAUCAGAAUAUUGUGUCGGUUUUAUAAUCUAAUAAUUCGACCAACAACCGCCGCUCCGGCCGACUGGAAAGCUAGCUAGCCAGGACUCUAGGAGACUCUCAACUGCUUCGAUUUCUACUAUAUAUGAAGCAUCAUCACCAUCAUAUCUCCUUCCAGAUUUCUUACGAAGAGUCCGAUAGAUUCUUUCUAGUUAAUUAAUUUCCACCAUGUGGCCGCCGACAUUCGUACUGCUGCUGCUGGGUUUGGUUUUUGCUAUAUCUAGAUCUUCUUCUUCUUCUUAUGAGGCGACAGUAAUAUCCCAAACUUGUGGGAAAACCAAUUACCCAUCUCUAUGCAUCUCCACGCUCUCCGAAUUCUCCACGGAAGCCGUCGUCGAUGAGAAAGAUCUCGUGCAAAUCUCGCUCAAAUCGUCAAUCCAACGGGUGAAAAUUGGUCGGCUUGAAGUCUCCGAUGUCUCCGAUCUUCUUCCUCCCAUGGACUCUCUUGUUCGCAGCGCGUAUGAUACUUGCGUUGAGCUUCUUGACGGCACGGCGCACCUUCUUUCCAUGUCUCUUCAACUAUUCAAGCCGGCUGUUUCUGUUCCCACCAACGUCGACGACGUCCACACCUGGCUCACCGCCGCGCUCACCAAUCAGGAUACGUGCAUGGAGAGUCUCGAUAUGAUACCGCCUGGCCAUGACCAUGUGGUGUUGAAGGAUAAAAUAACGGGAAACGUCGAAGAUCUAACGAAACAUGUCAGUAAUUCUCUAUCGAUCUACGUCGUGAUGAUGAAGAAGAACGGUGAGUUCGCUGACAUACCGAUCGUCGGCGGAAAUAGGAAGAACUCGUUUCCCGAUCAUCACUUUCCUUCUUGGGUUUCCAGAAUGGACAGAAAACUGUUGCAAUCGACACUUCUUCCUUUCCAUCCUACUUUCAUCGUCGACAAAGAUGGCAACGGAACGCAUACCACCAUUACCGAUGCCGUUAGAGCUGUUCCGCAUAACAGCACCGAACGCAUCAUUAUCUACGUCAAGUCCGGCAGGUAUACCUUAAUUUUGUGCCAUGAGAAUUAAUUCAAUUCUCUUGCUUAAUUUCAUACCAUUAGAGUUGGUUGGUUAGUUUAAUUUUCUCGUUUAAUUUCGCAUCGUAAGAUUUGAUUUGCUUAAUUUCGCGCCAUUAGAAUUAGUUUCCUCAAUUUCGCACCUAUCUUUUGAUAAAUUUCAUGACAUAAGAAUUUAUUUUGCUUAAUUUGGCGCCAUGAGAAUUGGUUCGAUUCUCACGUGAUUUAUAUAUAUAUAUAUAUAUAUAUGUAGGGUAAGUUUCUUGUACGUCGAAUUUUAAUGCGUUAAAAAAUUCUGACCAUUAGAUCGAUAUUUCGUCGUACAUGAGUUAAUGUCUUUUUUUGUCGUACAUAUGUUAGUGCUUUGUGCAGUACGUUAUUUUAGCUAUUGGAUUAAAAAUUAAUGAACAUGAUACAAACGACGCAUUUUGACGCACCGACGUACGACGCACCUGAAAAUUAUCGUAUAUAUAUGCAGGUACGAUGAAAAUGUGAAGGUUGGAAUGACCAAGACGAAUAUAAUGUUCAUAGGAGAUGGGAAGGGGAAAACCAUAAUAGACGGAACUAGGAGUGUUUAUGACAAUUUCACCACAUUCCACACAGCUACAUUUGGUUAGUACUUGUAAUUUUUACAUAAAACACCUCUGAAUUGUUCUAAAUUACUUCUUCGUGCAUCUAAUUAUGAAGCCGUCACCGGAAAUGGAUUCAUUGCUCGUGACAUAACAUUUGAGAACUCCGCUGAUCCGAAUAAUCACCAAGCAGUGGCACUUCGUGUUGGAUCCGAUCACGCUGUUUUCUACCACUGCAAUAUGAUUGGCUAUCAGGUUUUUCUUUCUUUCAAUGUUUUUUGCUUUCAAAAUUCGAACCAUGAACCUUUAACCACCUGAUGUUUAAUUUGAAGGAUACUCUGUAUGUCCACUCUCAACGCCAAUUCUUCCGAGAAUGCGACAUCUACGGAACCGUCGACUUCAUAUUCGGCAAUGCCGCGGUGGUUUUCCAAAAUUGCAACAUCUGGGCACGAAAGCCACUCGAUCAGCAAAAGAUAACAAUAACGGCUCAAAGUAGAAAAGACCCAAAUCAAAAUUCAGGCAUCUCAAUACAUAAAUGCCAAGUAAUCCCAACUCUGGACCUCCAGUCCGUCGCUUCGUCGUACCCCACUUUUCUCGGCCGACCGUGGCGACUCUACUCCCGUACCGUGUACAUGGAAUCGUACUUGGGCGAUCAUAUCGAUCAACGAGGUUGGUUGGAGUGGAAUGACGAUUUUGCCCUAGACAGUUUGUAUUAUGGUGAGUACAAGAACUACGGAUCAGGGGCUAAAUUAGAAAAUCGGGUCACUUGGAAGGGAUAUCGAGCGCUUCAGGAAAAAGAGGCUUUGGGUUUUACCGUCGGACAAUUUAUCGACGGGUCGACAUGGUUACCUGCUACUAAUAUUUCUUUUAUGGACAGUUUAUCUUCAAUAGUAUAAAAGGUUCGUUCCUUGUGUUUACCUAGCUUCCUUCUAAUUUUAUGAUAUCAUGCAUGUAUAUGAAUAAUGCAAGAGCAUAGGGCUCAAGAGUCAAGAACAUACACAAUAGAAACUAAUCAAACAUAUGAUAUUAGUAUAUAUGUUUUGAAAAUAUUUCAAGUGUUAUAAAGAUAUUGUAUUAUAAUUCAUUUAGGGCGAAAUUCAGGUAAGAUCUCAUUAUUUGAAAAUUAAAUAUGAACUUGCAUGUCUGAUUAUCCAACGAUGAAAUUUGUUACGAGAGUAUGCAUGUCAAGAGAUGCUGGAAGCUAUCAGCACUAACAAUCUACGACAUAAUCAGAUGAGCAAAAAACUCAUUUACUUUUUUCUAUCAGUUAUGUAGUGUAGUUAUAAAAUAACUAGAUACAUUGUCUCAGAAGGUUGGUCUCUUAUACUUCCAUUAUAAAAGUUUUCAAAAUAUAAUAUCAAAUUUUCUUGUAACAUUUCGGAUCAAAGGAGUGACUGAUGUCUUUAAUGACAUUUUUAAUGACUAUCUUAGAAGGUCUACUAACGUAUUGUCUGCUCUACCUCCCUUUCAAUUAACCUAUUCAGUACAUCCAUGACUAUGUCAAAGAGGAUUGGGGAUAGGGGGUCUUCUUGUCUUAUUCCUCUUUGGUUCUUAAAAGGGGGGGGGGUUGGUGUACCUUCCACUAGAUAAUCAACAAACUAAGAUAUCAUCUCUCAAAACUCUAAAUGAUUCACUACAAUCAUCUCUAGAUUCUAACAUUCAUCAAACUUCUAAUCAGCGCUAGAACUGAAAAAGAUGCAGUUGAUAUACAAUUCCAAACUAUUGCUCAUAUUAGGUUAUAUAAUAAUAAAAUAUGUACAUGGAAUUUUUUUUGCAUAAAACCGCCUAUACUGGUAUACGGUCAUACGGACCUGGAUACUGCAAACCUAUAUAGAAAACAUUGAUCGAAACACCUAAUUAUCAUAUUACAACAGAGUUUUGGAAAAUGUCACAAUUUUUUUUUGAGUGAAAACAAUGUCACAAGUUUUUUUUUGGUGAAAACAAUGUCACAAAUUACAAUACAAACUAAGGAUGAAAAUUUAGUUGGGCCCGUUAGGCCCGGCUCGAAAGCCCAUUAAAAUUUAAAGUAAUAUUAUAAUAGAAAAAAUCCACCUUGUUAACGACGUACAAAAGUGUCCAUAGAAGUCAACCGUUAGAUUAGGUAUGUAAUAGAUGAUGAAAUUUCAGCCUUCCAUGAGUAUAAUCAUUAAAUUGUGAGAAAUUUUGAGAAAUUGUCAGUAAUUAGAGUAGGUGUAUGUACUUUUAUCACUAAAAUUUCAACCAUAAAAUUGAUUUUGACAACUGCAUACUCAUAAAACAUUGUUCCUCUUUUUUCCCAUACAAAAGUUGCUCUUCAUCUCUCACCAUCGACUAUUGUCUCUCACAUUUGUCCCACCCUUCUCAAAAUCGCAAGAGGCGCUCACGACUCAUCUUCUUCAUUUCCGACAAGCAACCGUAUUCAUUUUCGACAAUCAUCUCCAAUCCAGACCGCGGACUACCGUUGUCUGUCUUCAUCAUUUAGCGGAGCAUUUUUUCCCGCUAGCUGUUUUUCUCACCGCUGGAAGUAUCUCUGCUUCACGAUUUCGUACGGUAGGUAUUCCGUGCUCUCAUUUUUCAAGUUUAUUUAUUACCAUUGUGAUAUGAUCUCACAGUCCAUCUCUCGUCCAUAUUUUUUCCGACUCAUCUCGUAUUUCGAAUAUUUGGUCGUGUGACACUUAUUGUGAUUAAGAUCAUAAUCUGUGAGGACAGAGGAAGCUGAUGAUGUGAAAACAAAGAUCAGCUUUAAUUCUAUCUAAUUAGGUUUAUUAAAAUACUUAAUUAGUUAGACUAUGUACUUAGUAUUAUUUCAGUUAGAUAUUAAUGGGCCAAUACUGAACUAAGCCCAUAAUUAACUCUAUAUAAAGAGUUGGAUGUAAAAGAUAUUUUCAAGGUGUUUAAUACAAGUUUUACACUUACCAGAUUUUCAGUUUUCAACUAACCACUCUUCCCACGCUCUCACUCUCUGCUGCACAUCCCUAACUGAUUGAUUAGGAAUUUCUGAUUCUGACAGCAUCUACGCUGCGCAUCUCGUCUAGAGGAGACGAGCUCUUUUAUGGUAUCAAUCGCUAGGUAUUGAUCAAAGCUUCCGCUCCAAUCAAUCACUCCAGUGACACAUUUGUUUCUUCAAAGAUUCUUGAAAAAUGACGUCUGAAUAGGUUGCUGAUGCAAGUCUGCACAAGGUACCAGACGAAAACUCCAGCAAUGAUAAUCGUGAAUAGAAUAUCAUAGAAAAGAGCAACUUUGUCAAGAAAAAUUCAAGAAUGGAUUGCUUCAAUUUAAAAGAAGCAAUGACCGACAGAUUCAGCCCAUAUUACCUUCACUCAUCUGAAAAUUCAAAGGAAAUCAUCGUCGCCAAUAAACUUAAAGGAGAUGAGAAUUACACAACCUGGUCCAAGGCAAUACUAAGAUACUUGUAUACUAGGAGAAAGGAAGGAUUCGUUGAUGGCUCAAUUAUGAAGCCCGCAGACAAGACUUCUCAAGAAUUCCAGGCUUGGAGGAUGGUGAAUGGCACAGUCCAGUCAUGGGUAAUAAAUUCAGUGAAAAGCCACAUAGCAUCUGCCCUAGAAUAUGCUGACAGUGCUUUUGAUGCAUAGAAAGAUCUAGAGCAAAGAUUUAAUCAAGGUGAUGGGCAGAUGAGAUACCAACUCAGGUAUCAAUUAAACAAUUUAUUUCAAAACUGUGAUACGGUAGGAAAGGGAAAAAAUUAGACACUGUAAACAGGUGUGACCACUGCCACUUCUAUGGCCACACAGAGAAAGAAUGUUACUACUUAUAUGGGUACCCUACAAAGAAGAAGGUUGAAAAGAAAAGGAACAGGGAAGAGGUGGCAAAUACUGCAAAUAUUUGCCUCACUGAAGAAGACUGCCAAAAGAUUAAACAGUUCAUAAGCAACAACCUGGGUAUGUGUUCUUUUAAUUCUUAAUUCUAAAAAUAAUUUUAACAAUAUGUGGACAACAUAUUCUGGUGCUUCUAGCCACAUGAGUGGAAAUAAGAAUUGUUUUAUAAAUUUAAAACCAACUCUUAAAAAUAUAAGAGUUAGCAUACCUAAUGAGAAAUACAUUUAGUCAAAGCUAUAGGAGAUAUUAUACUAUCUCCCCAUAUAAUGCUAAAAGAUGUAUAUUACAUCACAACUUUUAAAACAAAUUUAAUUUCGGUAGAAAAGCUAUCCAAAUCUACCAAAGUUUUAGUCAUAUUUGAUGAGGAAUUAUGUUAUUUUCAGAACAAAGCAUCAAAGAAACUGAUUGGACUAGCUAGAUCCUUCAAUGGAAUAUACUGGUUCAUAAAAGAAGCUGUUGCUUACUGUGCCACUGAUAUCAGAACUUGGCACAAGAGACUUGGGCAUAUUUCUUUUAAAAAAAAUCAGAAAUUAGCUAGAUAUGCUUGUAAUAAUUUCAGAUUGAAUGAUUUUAAUAAAAAGGAUGUUUUUCAUAAAUGUGAUGUAUGUCCAAUGGCAAAACAAGCCAGAUUGCAAUAAAAAGGAGUCAUACCUCUUCUCUAAAAACAUUUGAUAUAAUACAUGUUGAUAUUUGGAGAAAAUUUCCCCAAUCAACUUAUAACAAUAAAAAUUAUUUUCUCACAAUUGUAGAAGAUAAAAGUAGAUUUACUUGAAUUUAUUUAAUGGAAAAUAAAUCAAAAGUAACUCAAAUAAUCAUAGAAUUUAUUAAAAUGAUAAAAACUUAAUAUCAGACUCAUUAAAGUAAUUAGGUCUGAUAAUGGAUUAGAGUUUAAAACAAAAAAAAUUACAAUUUUUUUUAAAAAUAAUGGAAUGAUUCAACAAUUCUCAUGUUUUUAUUUUCCACAACAAAAUAGUAAGGUAAAAAGGAAACAUAGAGACAUCUUGAAUAUAGUCAGGGCAUUAAAAAUACAAGCCUCUUUCCUAAUAAAAUUUUGGGGAUUAUGUUGCUUAAAUGCAGCACACAUCAUGAAUAGAAUUAACUCAAAGUCCUUAGGAUGUAAAACACCAUAUGAGGUGUUAAAUAACAAAGAAAUUGACUAUGGUUAUAUAAAAACCAUAGGCUGUUUAUGUUAUACGAAUAACACUGAAAAAGAGAAUAAAUUCUCAAAUAGGGCCAACAGUGGAAUCAUGUUGGGGUAUCCCUAAGAAAUUAAAGGGUUUUUAAUUCAAGACCUUGAAACUGGUAAGAUAUUUACCAGUAGGAAUGUCACAUUCAAAGAAGAUAUAUUUCCUUAUGAAUAUAUUAAAAGAAGCAUUACAGACAAAAAUGGGACAUCGAUCUCAACGACGUUAUAUUUUUUUCUUAAUUUUUUGUUUAAAAAAAUCAUCCCCCUUCGUACCCUUUAUUUUAUGUUUUUUAUGUCUUCAUUUUCAUGUCUCAAAUCUUGUAUUUUAUGUUGUUCCUAUAAACGUAAAUCUAUUAUUGUUUUUGUUUGUAUUUAAUCCACUUUUUUUGUUCGUAUUUCAUCAUAUCAUAGAAUGUACUGUUAAUCUGUUCUUUCACCGCAAAUCUGUUUGAUUUUUUGAAUAAGAUUUUUCUUUAAUUUAUUAUUUUUACUGAAAAAUAGAAUCGUUGAUUGUAAAUUUGAUUUUGAGUUUGAUUUUAUUUAUCGUUGUCCUAAUUUGUUGUCCCUAAAAUGUCAUAAUCUAUUUUAAUCUUGCAUUUCAUUAAAUCCUGAUAUUUGUUUGAAGCCCUAAUUUGUCUACACUAAUUUUCAGUAUUCAAUGAUCGUAAAUUUUUUUGAUAAUAAAUGAUCGUAAAUUUUAUGGAACAACUGUUUGAACUAUUUCAGGAACAAUGCGCCCAAGUAAUUGAUGAACAAUGGUUUGGACCAUUUGCAGGACAACAAUUGGAAGUAUUUGAGAAACAACACGUUGAACAAUUUUGUGGACAAAAGAUGAAAGAAGUUACGGACCCAUGGUUUGAACUUUUAAAGGAACAACGCAUUGUCAAAAUUUGGAGCCAAUGAUUUGAACCAUUUAUGUACUCAUGGUUGUAAGUACUUCGUGAACCAUUUGAACCAUUUACUUAUAUUUGUGCAACCAUGGUUGUAAGGGUUUUAGGAACAAUGUUUCGACCAAAGUUAGGGAUCAUUUGAAGUAUUUGGGGUACUAUGUUUGGACCGACUUUGGGGAUAAUAAUUUGAAUAAUUUGUAGAACAAUCGUUUGAACUAUUUUAGGAACAUUGCUCCCAAGUAGUUGAUGGACAAUGGUUUCGACCAAAUUUAGGGACAAUGGCUACAACCAUUUAUUGAACCAUAAUUUGAAGUACUAUAGGAGCAAUGUUCCGAACUAAAUUAACGUACAAUGAUUUCAACAAUUACAAGGACAACAAUUACGAUAUAAAGAGGGUUGACGAUAAUGACGAGGACAAAAUGACUGAAAUCAAUUAAUAAACAAUGUUCCGACCUAAAUUAAUGUACAAUAAUUUCAACAAUUAUAAGGACAACAAUUACGAUAUAGAGAGGGUUGACGAUAAUAACGAGGACAAAAUGGCUGGAAUCAAUUAAGGAACAAUACGAAAAAGAAAUUCGAAAACAAAUCCAACGAAGGCUUCCGGUCUUGAAAAAAAAUCGCAAAUGGGUUUCGGCAAGGAAGGAAAAUAAAAAUGAAAAAAAGAAGGUAUGAAAGAGUGUACGUGAAAAGGCAGUAUACGUGAUAGAAGGUAAGAGAAAGUGAAGGUCAAAGUACAUAUGUAGGUGACAGGUAAAGGUACGAUUAGGUAGGAUAGAGAAAAGGAAUAAUAUUUACUCUGUGAUUUCUGCAAAAAAAAUAAUAAAAAACUCUAAAUAAAAGGACGGUCCAGAUAAUGGAAGACAAGAUCUAACGACUCAGCUAAGGUGAACGCUUUUGAACACACCCUAGGAUGAGCGUAUGUGAUAAUUCUUAUAUUAUAAUAUUAGAUUAUAUCAUAUAAAUUCAAAUCCCAAAACGUAUUUACCUCACUCCUCGCCCUAAAACCCUAAAUCUAUAGUGUUCGAAGACAAAGAUGAAUAAAUGAUUUUUUUUAAUGUUUUGCCCGAGUUGCCUGAGCCCGGUCCGAGUUCGACCCGAAAUAAAUGGACCCGGUCCGACUCGUUUACCAAACGAACAAGCUCGGGUCUGAAAAUCAGGCUUGUUUGUAACCCUAAUCCGGUAUCUCCACAAUCCAAAGGUUUUAUAGGCUUGAAAUUACUCCAAGUGAACCUUCACACGUCUAAUAACCUAUAAAUAUAUAAAAAAACAAUAAAUAAUGAAUUAUUAUAAAUUAUAAAAAACCAUCAGUCAAUAUGCUUUCAAGAUCUAGUUGGGUUAGGUGGAUCUGGCUAACCAAUAAAUCAAUUAAAUUGGGAAAAAUAGUUUUUCCACAAUUUAAAAACGGUUGGAAAUCACGAUUUGCGAUUACUAUUUGUUUUUCUUCACGAUUUCUCCGUAGUUUCUGUAACACCCUUAACCGCCUGUAGUUAAGGUGUUCGAGGGAAUUCCCCAAAGAAAACGAUGAUGAAAGAAGAGAGAAUUUUCCCCAAGCGGGGCUAGAGAUAGAGAAGACGAUCACGGAGGAUCCCGGAGGAUAAAGAAAAUUAUAAACUGAAUUGAAACUUGAUUAUUCAUUCUCCUUUACAUCAUCUCUAUUUAACUAUGAAUUUUAUAACUACUUUUUGUUAGAUCUAACAACUCUUGAAAAAUGAUUAACUAACUAUACUCGAAGUUCUUGUUUUGUGUAGACUUGCAGACUCUUGCCGGAUAAGGCGGGUCUGGUUCCCCGGAUCCUGGAACCACUUCAGUCGAAGCCUCUUUUGCUCUGUUGUCUUCUAGCUCCAGUUCGGUCGUGAGCACACGUUCUGCUUCCUCUUGUUCAAUUAGCACUGUUACAGUUUCUUCCAUCCAACCUUGCAGCACCCUCAUUCCUUUCUCCGACAAAUUUCCAAAGACAUCCAAUGACCGACAACUAUCUUCCACAGUUCUAUCUAGAUUAGCUGCUCAUUAAUUAUCAGCUAAUAUUUGGUCAAUGAAUAUGUGCUGAUGAGGAUAUCGAGUUUAGUCAGAAGGCUUCCCGUGGGAGGAGCGUCGCUCCCGGGCCCUUCGAUCGGGGGGACCGGUCCGUACAUCGGGUCACCACCUCCGCCCCCGUCUGACUCGAGGGUGUGGGGGGCCACCGUGAGUUGGUGCACCUGCUCCUGCAGCUGGCGCUGACUCUCUUGUAGAGUGGAUAUCGAGUUCACGGGUUCAGUUCGAACCUUGAAAUAGAUUCGUUUAAUUAAACGAACCGAACCCAAACCUUAGUUGAGGUUCGACGAACGGUUCGGUUCGUUUAACAUUUUUAUUAUAUUUUAUUAUUUUAUAUUUAUAUUAGAAAAUUACAUUAUAUAAUUUUUUAUUAUAAAUUUAUAUUAUAUAUUUCAUAACUUAUGUAUAUUUUUACAAUUUUUUAUUAAUAUAGUAUGUUAAUGUUGGUUUCUAAUCAACAAGAAGAAAAGAUGACUAAGAAUUGAUUUAACAAAAGAAAAUAGACUAUAAACAAUGUUUUUUUAUUGUUUAUUUUUUUAAAUAUGGUCAGAUGGACAUGUUUAUUUUUUUUAAUGUUUAUUUUUAGGAUGAUUUAAAAAAAAGUUCAGUAUUCGACGAACUAUUUGGUUCGGUUUAGAUUUGAGUUCGGGUUCGAUUAUUAAACGAACCAAACAUAAAUUCAAGAGUAGGCUCGUUUAUUUAAACAAACCGAAUCAUGGUUCAAUAGACUCGAGUUGCAACGCUAAUUGUCAUUAUAAUUACAAUUCCAUGUUUAUAAAAUACACCUAUUUCAUAUUUUGAUCUAUAUAUUAUUAACAUCAUGUCAUGCGCAAGCAGUGUAGAAUAUGAAUUAAAAAAUGUCAGUUUGUUUCCAUAUUCAUGUUCCUUAAGAAUGGCUUUAAUGGUUUAAUUUAUUCUUACCAUCUUGUAGUUAUUAUAUGAUCCAAAACUACUUGAGGGGUGACAAUAAUAGACACGAUUCGUAAAAAAAUACGCGAUUUUAACACGAUACAAGCACGACCCGUUUAUAAUAGUGCCGGGUUAGUGUCGAAAGUUUUAACACGAUUAAUAAUAGUGUUUGCCUCUAAAAACACGACAUGAUUACAGGAAACGUAAAUUAAUACGACAUGAUUAUAUGACACAAUAACACAAAAAUAUAAUUAACCAUGUUUAUCUUUUAUGUAAUAGAAGUAAAAUAAUAUUUUUUAUGUUAAACCACUUAAGUUUUAUAUAAAAUAUUAUAAUCAUAAAAUAAUAAGGGUAAAAUAAUAGCUAUGAGGUAAAAUAAUAAUUAUGGUGUAAAAUAAUAACUAUAUAAUAGGGAGAUAAUUAUUAAUAAAAUAAUAGUGUCGUAUUCGUGUCAAAUUUUUUUUGACACAGAUCGUGUUCGUGUUAAUGAAAAAAUUAAUUAUGAUAAUCAUGUUCGUGUCGCGUCAACACAAUUGCCAGACCUAGCCACUGCCAUUGUUAUUGACGCUCUAACCGUCAAUAAUGAUAGUAAAAAAACAGUUUUAGGGUUUAUAGGUUAAUGGUUAAAUGAUUAGAAUUAGAACAAAAGAAAGAUUACAGGUUAGUGAACUAACUAGAUGUUUGUGAUUCUAUAUACUACUACUACUGAUGGAAACAGAGUUUCUCUUUAUGAACUCAACACAAUCCGCCAUGGCUUCGGCGUAAUAAGAAUCGACGACUAAACCUCCUCCUCCUCCACCUUUAUUUCCAUAAUUGCCUAAAUUUUGCUGGUGGCCUUUUCGGCCUCUCUUAGAAACAUACAUCCCACUACCCUUUCUAGUUAUUCUUCGGGAUUGUUGGCACUUUGCAACAAGUGUUCGGAAGAGGCGAUGCACCAUUAUUUGGAACGGUCGAAGCCCGUGCAAUUGUAAGUAUGCCGAUCGGAAAAGCUUUAUCACCACAACACCCCUACCGACUGGGAUAUGAUUCAAUUGACUUCUCAUGAUUAUUGUUAUUCAAAUCUAUUGCUGGUUAUUUCUCUAUAUAUACAGUUUUUCAAUUCCUCGCUUGGCACAUUGGAAAACCAACCUUCUGUGGGCGCAGUUUUCCAAUAUAUUUACAACUAAAUGGUGGUAAUCGGAUAUUUAAUUUAUAUCUCUUGAUGAGGUAGACUGUGAUUGCUGAAUGCUGAUUGUUGAAUGCUGAUCUUAUACUUAAUUAAAUCCUUGUAAAUUAUUUUAUCUCUAAACCAUGUGCUCUCAAACUUUAAUUUAUUCAAGGAAUCUUGACACCAACAUAGGGUGUCAAACGAGCCGAGCUUUUGCUUAUAGAGCCGGGUUCGGGCUCGGCUCGUUAAGAUAUCAUCUGAGCUCGGGUUCGGCUCAUCAGAGACUUUCCAGAUUUGGGCCUGAGUUUAAACGAACCGAGCCCACCAAGUCGGACUUUAUUUGACACCCUACAUCAACAUAUAUAUAGUAGAAAUUGGAUUAGGUCAGAUGUAACGCGAUUAUACGGUAGCUCCGGUGUUGGGUGAAGAGGAUGAAGUGAAAUUAAUAGAAAAAAAAUUAUUAGCGAAAUUACUGAGUUUGGAAAUAAAAAAUAAAACGAGAUCUGUAAAUACUUAAAGUGAUAGGGGAGAUCAUGAAAAUGUCUUUCUUUUUCCUUUAUUCAAAUGGUGCAUUGAGAAUUGCAACUCAUUUCAAAUGGAUUUUGAUAGCUUCUCUGUAAAACCUUAUUUUCCAAACAGAGUUUUAAUAUAAUGAAAUGACUUGUAAUAACUUGCUUUCCAAACGAAAUUUUAAUAUAAUGAAAUAUUCCACACACAUUCAGUAUUUAGGUAACCUAAGAUAAUACUUAUUACAAUCCAAGUAAAGGACAAUGACUACAAAAUUUUAUGUUCUACGCACACGAGCCUCGUGUCACCUCGACGAGUCUUUUGUCUCCUACAAUUCUAGUUAGGCAAGGUUGCCUCCAUUCCCUGCAAUAUUGUAUGCAUUCGUAAGUAAUUACAUCACUCUAAUAUUACAUCACUCAAUAUGUAAAGCAUAGACACUAACAUUUCUCAAAUAUCAAGUUAAUUUCACUCUACCAAUAUUAUAUAUUCACAUAACAAGUAAGAAAAUAAAUCCUCAUUCAUAAAACUCAUCAUUCAGUCUAAUUACAUCAAUCAAUCAUCAUUCAUAAAACCCAUAUGGGUCAUCAUUCGUCAUUCAUAAAACCCAUAUGUGUCAUCAUUCGUCAUUCAUCAUUCACCGUCGGUUAGGCGUCAAAAUAUUUCGGUCAUAUCUCACUCAUGCAUUCAUUCCUUCAUUCAUUAACUCGUUGAUGUGGCUAGCCACGUCAUUGUAAUGGCUCAUGCCUUGACUGGCAAAGCAAUUAACAUGCAAUAAAAGCAGUUGCUCACCUUCUCUAACUGAUGGCCAUCGUCGAAGGAGAAGAGGAUAAAUAAAGAUGGAAACUCUUGAAUAAAGUAGAUUAUUAUUUCCUUUUGAGAUUUUUACAUUCUGGUACGUUUCUUCUUUCUUCUCCGGUGGAUUCUGGCUAAUGGUUGGUGGAUUCCAAUCUAAUCUCCUUUAACUUCCUCAGGUUCGCUCGACGACGAUCUUCUUCGUCUCGCUUUCGUUGCUGCUCCAUCGACACUAUUCUUCUAUCUUCAUCUCUUUUAUUUUUUGAACCUAUCGCUGGAUCACUACCGUGGUUGAUCUUUACGAUGGUAUAUCUUUUUUUUACUAUUUGAAUACAUUAGGUGGUAUCAGAUUCAAGGUCCGAUCAUCUUCCCAGCAGUGCGUACGAUGUCUGACUACGUAUCUAGGGGAGAAUUUGAGGAGUUAAAGAAAGUAUUGAUAAAUAUGCAAGACGAGCUGGCCCAGUUGACACAACAAAUAAGCCGGGGUUGAAAGGAACCGUCUCAUCGGAGGAAUCGAGAUGGGAAGGCACAGUGGCCAGAUGGGUAAGAAAAAAACGACGACGGAGGCUCGUUCAGUCUACUUCAAGAAAAGGCCCCAGUCUACAUCCAGAAGAAGUAUUUUCGGACCUAGAGGAGUUUGAAGAUGAACGAGAGCGACAAUGUGUUAUCAAUCAAAUCGAAAUUACGACCAUCAGUAUAGGCAACAAAAUUGGUACGAUCAACGAAGAGAUCGGAAUGAAUGGAAACAAGGACGCCAUCAGAAUCACGACGGUGAGUUCGGGGACUACAAGCUCCGCAUGGACCUUCCAUGGUUCAAUGGAUCUUCCAAGAUUGAAGAAUUCCUGGACUCGAUAAGCAAGGUAGAACACCUCUUCGAAUAUAUGGACGUGAAGGAGAGGAAGAAGGUAAAAUUGGUGGCAUUACAGUUGGAUGGGUGUGCAAGUGCUUGGUGGGAUCAGUGUUAGUUAAACAGGACUCAAGAUGGAAAGAAGCCAAUACGUUCAUGGACUAAAAUGAAAAGUUGCUUAGAAGAAGGUUCCUACCUUCAAACUAUGGAAGACAACUAUUCACUCAGUAUCAAAAUUGGAAACAGGAAACGCGCGGUCAGUGGCAGAAUAUACUCAAGAAUAUCACCGACUAGCAUCUCGUAAUAACCUUCGAGAGAAUGAAGACCAAAGAAUCGCUAGAUUCGUUGGUGGUCUGAAACAACAGAUUCAAGAAAAAUUAAUAGUCAAUAUAUCCAGCCCCAUCAUUAGAAGAGUCGGUCAAUAGAUCUAACUAUUCAACCUUCACGUUAUUCAACACCGUUCAGGGAACUAGCCGUCGGAGAAUCAUCGAGAACAACACCCGUGACGACAAUCGAAAUUCUGGAAAAGUCAAAGGAUGUAAGAGCACCACCAGAAAAUCCAUACAACCAGGUAAUUAAGUGUUACCAGUGCCAAGAGGUCGGACACAAGUCCAACGUCUGUCCGCGGCGUCGAGGAAUACACAUAUGUGAGGGUGAAGAAUCGGAGUAGGAAGGAAGACCGGAAUCGGAGGAUGAAACAGAACAAGUCUUCUCGACAUCUACUGGAAUCCACCAGAAUAAUCGAUCACCACACUUGGUUAUUCCAAUCCAGGAAUUGACCAAUCAAACAGUACUUUUAAUUCACGAAACAAAGUAGAAGAAAGAGAGAAAUGAGAGUUGGAGAUUACCUUCUAAUUUUUAGGUUAAAUCUCAACUAACCGUCCAUCUGCCCUUCCACUCCCAUUUAUACUCUCAAGGUGUAUGAGUGGAAAUUCCACCCUGAGAGUCCAAGCAUAUUAGUGGGCUUGUGGUCCAGGGCUCGAUUAGAAUCGAACUCAUGACUCAUAUACUCAUGCUGGGCUGCAUCAGGCGACCCCUCUUGGGAUACAAUUGUCCUCAAUUGACUGUCUUCUGCAGUAGAAGGGUGAUAACUCUUUAAAUCUGCAAUGUUGAAAGUUGAAGACAUAUUGAACUCUGGAGGGAGAUCAAUUACAAAAGUAUUAUCAUUGAUUUUUCUGAGCACUCUGCAAGAUCCAAAAUUUAUGUCCUUCAAUUUAGAAUAAGAUCCCGCAGGGAACCUCUCUUUCCUUAAGUGAACCAUGACCAAGUCAUCCACAUUAAAAGUAUGAAAUCUUCUAGAUUUAUCAGCCCUUGCUUUAUACAAUUCAUUGGAUCUGGUUAGUGAUUCCUCCACCUGUUUGUGUAUUGCUCUGCUGGAAUCAAAAAUAUCUUCAGCUAAUCUAUUUGCUGAUUGUAUGGAAACAACAUCCAUAAUGUUCUUUGGAAGGUGGCCAUAAGCAGCAAUAAAUGGUGCAUAACCAAUGGACCUGUUAGGCAUACUAUUAAAUGCAAACUCAGCUUGAGUUAAGUGCUGGUCCCACUGUUUUGGGUGUUUCCCUGCUAGCACCCUUAACAAAUUACCAAGUGAUCUAUUUACCACUUCAGUCUGGCCAUCCGACUGUGGGUGACAUGUAGAGUUGAAAUUCAGAUUUGUGUCGAAUCUUUUCCAUAAGAUCCUCCAAAAAUGUGAGAGGAACUUUGUGUCUCUAUCCGAUAUAAUGCUCCUUGGAAUACCAUGAAGUCUGAUUACUUUAUUGAAAAACAAUUUUGCUAUGUGAGAAGCAUCAUUGGUCUUCUUACACUGAAUAAAAUGAACCAUCUUUGAAAACCUAUCAACCACCACAAAAAUGAAAUCUAACCCUUUGCUAGUUUUGGGUAAUCCCAGAACAAAGUCCAUAGAUAUGUCUGCCUAUGGUUCUUUAGGAACUGGUAGAGGGGUAUAGAGACCACUGUUCCGACUGGUGCGCGCCCUUUGCUUCUUGGCACCUAGGGCACCUUUGCACAUAUUUCUCAUUCCUGGCCAGCAAUACCUGCUCACCACUUGUGCAAUUGUUUUGUCUCUUUCAAAAUGGCCAGAUAGACCUCCUGAGUGUAUGUCUCUGAUUAGUUGCAAUCUUAAUGAGGUUUGAGGGAUGCACAAUCUGUCAGUCUUGAAAAGAAAUCUAUCAUUGAUUCAGAAGUUCUUGUUGUGUAAUUUCUGUAGGCAUUCCUCCCAAAUAAUAGAAAAAUCCUUAUCAGUAGAAUAAAGUUCCUUUAGACAGUCAAAAGCUACCACUUCUAUCCUCAGAAGUGUUAAUAAGGAAUUUUUUCUGCUUAAAGCGUCAGCCACUUUAUUACUCACACCAGAUCUAUGUUUUAUAGUGAACUCGAAUCUCUGCAAGAAUGAAAACCAUCUGUUGUGCAUUCUAUUGGUGUCAGAAGUACCAUUCAUCUGCUUUAACGCUAUGUGGUCAGUAUGGAUAACAAUUUUCCUCUGAAUCAAGUAGGGUUCCCAAACUUUGCAGGCUCGGACAACAACAUAUAAUUCUUGCUCGUAAGUGGUCCAAUUCUUCCUGCUGGCCGAAAGUUUUUCACUGUGGAAAGCAAUAGGGUGUCCAUUUUGAAAUCACAUUCCACCUCAAAAUAUCUGUGUAAAAUCAGGAAGAACUAACACAGGUGCCGUUUGGAGUUUUUUUUCCAGUUUCUGGAAACUGACUGAAGCUUCCUCUGUCCAUGUGAAUUUCCCUUUCUUUAGACAAUCUGUGAUGGGACUAGCUAUAGAGAUGAAAUUCUUGAUAAAUUUUCUAUAAAACGAUGCAAGCCCCAUGAAACUACGAACCUCAGUAAUUGAAGAGGGAGUUGGCUAAUCCCUUAACACCUCAGUUUUCCUUGGGUCCAUUCGCACACUAUGCACCCCAAUGAUGAAUUCCAGAAAACAGAGUUCGUCAGAAAAAAAACUCACACUUCUUCAGAUUCAACUUAAGUUGAUUGUCUUCCAACAACUUAAAAACUGAUCUAACAUCUCUAAUAUGAUCUUCUUUAUUUUUGCUGAAUACUAAGAUGUCAUCAAAAUAAACUACUACACAAUUGCCUAACAAUGGCUUCAACACUUCAGUCAUCAACCUCAUGAAAGUUGAUGGUGCAUUGGAUAGCCCAAAUGGCAUCACCAUUCACUCAUAUAGGCCCUGUCUAGUUUUAAACGUUGGUUUCCACUGAUCCCCUUCUCUCACUCUGAUCUGGUGAUAGCCACUUUUAAUUUAAAUCCAUUUUGGAAGAAAUUGUAGCUCCUGCCAAGGCUUCUAACAGCUCCUCCAGUCUCGGAAUAGGGAAUCUGUACUUGACUGUAAUUCUGUUUAUGGCUCUACUGUCCAUACACAUCCUCCACUCUCCACUUUUCUUAGGAACUAAGAGAGCAGGCAUCGCACAGGGACUUAAGCUAGAUCUGAUCAGGCCAUCUUUCAAUAACUGUUCAACCUGAUUUUGUAAAAUUUCAGCCUCUUUGGAGCCCAUUCUGAAGUGGAGCAGAUUAGGUAGAGAUGCCCCUGGAAUCAAAUCUAUUCUAUGUUCAAUAUCCCACGCCGGUGGUAGUGUCACUAUUGAAUUUUCCAAGGACAGAAAUGGAAAAUCAUUCAGAAUUGUUUGGACUUCAGUGGGGAUUUCUCUGAAUUCAGACUUGUCCACUUCUAAAUUUUUGAUUACUAAAGCUAACCUCAACUCUUCAAUUUUCAAUUCCUCGACAAAAUCAGACCUUUGUUGCAACAAAAAAUUGGUGUUUAUGCUGGUUGUGCUUGUUGACUCAGGGGGUACAGGUAAUAGAGCUAUUUUUUUAUCAUCCACCUGAAAAACAUAUGUGUUCAGUCGCCCAUGGUGAGUGGCAUUCACAUCGUAUUGCCACGGUCUACCCAAAAGUAUGUGUGUAGCAUCCAUGUCAAGUACAUCACAUACCACCGUAUCAUUGUACCGCUCUUGCCUAUAGAAAGUGGGACUUUGCACAAAUUUUUUAUUUUUACUCCUUCCCCAUUUUUAUCCACCCUAUCGUAUAUGGUCUAGGGUGUUCUUCCAAUUUGAGACCCAACUUCUUUGCUGCCCUUUCAGAUAUCAAAUUAUCAAUACUCCCAUUAUCAUUGUAACGGCUCCUGCCUUGGUUGGCAGAGCAAUUAACAUGCAAUAAAAGCAGUUGCUCACCUUCUCUAACUGAUGGCCAUCGUCGAAGGAGAAGAGGAUAAAUAAAGAUGGAAACUCUUGAAUAAAGUAGAUUAUUAUUUCCUUUUGAGAUUUUUACAUUCUGGUACGUUUCUUCUUUUUUCUCCGGUGGAUUCCGGCUAAUGGUUGGUGGACUUCAAUCUAAUUUCCUUUAACUUCCUCAUGUUCACUCGACGACGAACUUCUUCGUCUCGCUGUCGUUGCUGCUCCAUCGACACUAUUCUUCUAUCUUCAUCUCUUUUAUUUGCUGAAUUGAUCUUCACAAUGAAAAAUACAAGGUUUUAUUUAUUUUUUAAUCAUUAGGGGGACAUUCAGAUGAGAUGCCUUAAAAAAAAAAUCUCAUGAGAUAAUGAUCUCCAUCGUCCAUUUUUUAGUUUUACUCACGAUAUCUGAAUCUUGAUAUUUGUUCCAGGUUUAUAAUAAAAAAAAUGAAAUAAUAAGAAUGGUGAAAUGAAAUUUAAAUGAUUAUUAAAGCGCUUAAAGCACCAGGGGUAUUUUAGUAAUAUUCUGUAAAGAUACAAAUAAUCUUAUAUAAAUACAUAUAAAACCUAUAGAAAAAAUAAAAAUAUUGUAUAAAAGUAUAAAAUCGCAUAUAAUAAAACAUUAAUGAUUUAAUUCAUACAAGUAAAAUUUAAUCCAACUACAAUUUAAAUCAAACUAAAAUCUGAAAGUGGAAUAAGAGUUUUAAAUUUAAGUUAGAAUGGAAAAAAAAUUAUAUUAGGUGAAAAUAUUAUUAAAUAAUAGUUGUAAUUGGGUAAUCAUUGGUUCUUUACCCGAACCCGCUCGAUUACCCCCUCUGGAAAAGCGCUCUUCCAAGAGAGCUUUAACGCGCUCUUAAAACGGCGUUUUUAAAACUAUGUUAUAUAUAUAUAGGCAUUAUAGAUAAAUAAUGCUAAUACUUGUUUGUUUAUUAAUUACUUUCACUACAAGAAAACAAAGAAACAACCACGCCCAAGAUCACUGAUUAAUAUUCAACAAUUAGCCACGGCUUUUAGUGGUCGUGGCUAAGCCCGUGGGCGUAGCCCUGUUUUCUUGUAGUGUUUAGUUUAUAUAGUUCAGUUUAUGAAAUAUAUUGUUAAAGUGUUCUUAAGCAAAUCUGCCUUAUUAUCUUUCUAUAAUAUUCUGUUAGGCAAUAUGGUCAUAUGGAGUUAUGGACAAGUUGCACAUGAAAGCACAUUAAGACAUACUAGAAUAUCACUGCACUAUAAGACAUAUACUAGAAUAUCACUGCACUAUAUAUAAGACAUACUAGAAUUUCUUGUCAAACAAUUGAUAACAGAAACGGUUAGUAAGUGAUCGAGUUUACGAACCUAGGUAUAUCACUAUAUAGUUAUAUACCUAUAUAAUGAGUUUUUGUUGCAGUUCUCGCACGGCUCGGUUCGGUACGCCGACGAGAUCCAACCGCUCGUCCACCUCUGAAGUCUUAGCCGCAGGGAACUUCACUGUUAAUAGAAUCAAUAUAAUGUUACUCAUUGAAACUAUAUUAACAAUAAUCUUUGCUGUUAUUUUGCAUGUUUAUAAUAUUAUAUUUACAAGUAUGCAAAGGUAAAAGAACCCAUUUCAGGAAACGGACUAAAGAAAAUAAAUGAAGCCCAAUCAGCCCAUAAAGCUAUGGAUUAGCAUCGUAGUUAAUUAAUUAGUUGUUGGGUUAGUUUAUUUUCUAUAAAUAGUCUAUGUAAUAACAAUAAGAAUUACUUACUUUUGAGUGAAAGAAGUUUCAAUCAAUUCCUCCAAAUUCUGUUAAUCUAUUCUUCCCCAAUUCUCGUUUCACAGUUCUAGUGUCGAUUUCCAAUCCAUUCGACGAGAAAUCGGACACUUUCUUUCUUUUAACUGUGGUUCACGACACCGGCGAGGUGCGGUUCUUCACGUCCAUCGUCGGAUGAAGAAUACAGCCCAUCCAGUGAUGGGCCGCAUGCAGUUUCAGGUGCGGCGAACCACCCCUGAAACUGCCUGUAUAACUAUAGGUUAAUUGAUAUGAUAAGACUAGAGAAUAGAUGAGAGGGAGAGGAGAUGCAGUGGAUAGACCUUAAAGUGACCAGCAGGUCCAUUUACUCCCAAAAUUCAGUUAGGGCAUAGCAGUCAUCGGCUCAUCGCUAUGCCCUGCUAUUUUGAGGUAUGCUCCACAAGAUUUGCAAAUAUGUUGCAUAUAUAAUAACUUUAUUUUUGGUAUAUUAUGUUUUUUGUGUAAGUUUAUUGCACAUGAAUAUGGCUACGAACUUAUAUUGUAUUAUGGUUUUAUUGCACAUAAAUCAGGCCAUUAUAGAGUUGGAUAACAGUGGAUCAUUUUUCAUAAAGAACUUGAGAAAGUGUUCUAUGUCGACGAUGGAACCCUUUGAUGACUACACGCCAGAGGGAGAAGUGGCCAUGGAGAUAUGAAAUGAAGAAGAAGAAUAAAGAGAUCGAGGAAGAACAGUGUGAAUUAAGAUGUAAUCGAGAUGAUUACAAAUGUAUUAUUUAGGAGGUAUAUAUACACUUACAAAGGGAACAAAUAACAACCACUAAGGUGGGUGUUGUUAUACGUAUAACAACAAUUGUAACAAAAAUAUUCUUCUAGCAUCUUUUAGAAGUUUCUGGAAUGUUUAAUUCAAUAUUCUCCUUCAAACUAGUGUGGGAUCGCACACACCUAAUUUGUCUUUAAUAUCCAGAUACCUUGAUGAUGAAAGGAGUUUGGUAAAACCAUCAGUUAACUGUUCUCUGA